rnacentral:lncRNA from 1 species
GGCAUUUUAUUAAUGCCUUUGAAGGUUAGAAGAUAUUUUACCUUCUGGAGUUUCUCUGACUCACCGAUGAUCUCAGCUCAAACCUGCCAGUUCAGGGGAGAUGAUCGAUAACACCCUCAGAUGAUCGACAUCUGAGUAAGUAGAUACUGCUGUGUAUUGUGUUUAACUGCUUUAAAAAAAAUUAAAUUUUGUAACUUUAAAGGCUUAAAGUAUUAUGCAUUUUAAUGGGGUUCUUUAAAUUUUGUUGUUGAAUAAUGAUGGCAAUUAUUGUAAUUCCUAUAAGUGAAUAUUUAUAAAUAAUGGGUUUCCAGAAGUUAAUCCCCUAAUGAUAAAAAAAAGUUAGUGAAAACAUUUUCCGUGCAUAAUACUUUACCUUUUAAGAAACAUAUUGAAGACCUAAAUGCAUAUAUUAAAAAUUUAAAAGCAUUCUCCUUAGUGCUUUAUUUUACUUUCAUAUUAAGAAAUGCAAAAUUAUUAGUAAGACUGUUAACUGUAAAUGAAUUUUAAAAAUGCAAUUAUAUUCUUACAGAAAUUGUCUUUUAACAUAGAAUGUAUUUUGGUUAACUUGAAAUAAAUACUGGUUUGUUUUGUGGAAGUAGAAUUUUAAUAGCUCUUUCUAUUUGAAAAUAAUGAUGUUUUUUCCUGCUAACGUAGACAAGAACAUAGAAUCUCUCUGUAUUUAACUUUCGUUUUUAAUUGAGGAGACUAAGAAAGAAGAGCAUGCAUGCUUUCUAAUCAAAACAUCUGAAUGAAAUGUAAAGAGUUCGGCCAGUAGUCUUGACAUAAAUUAUUUCUCAGAAUGAAAGCUGUUAUUCGUCUUGUUAUAUCAUUUGAAACUGUUUUAACAAAACUAGGAAACCAUGAGGUUGUCCCAUGGUCUUGUUUUGGAAUGUGAAGUUCAAAACAAUUAAUAAAUAUACAAGAUGUUCCCCUCUUCGAUGGGGUUAUUUAAAUUAGGUCUAUGUCUGUGCUGUCCCAUAUGGUAGCCACUGGCCACAUGUAGCUACUGACAUUUAAAAUGUGGCUAGCCCCAACGGAGAUGUGUUAUGCAUAAAAUACACACCACAUUGCAAAGACUUAGUCUGAAAAAAAGGCUGUGAAAUAUUUUAUUAAUAAUUUUGUAUGAAUCACAUGUUGGAAUAAUAGUUGUUCAGAUCUGUUGGGUUAAGUAAGCCACUUAAUGUUUUCUUUUACUUUCCUAUGUGACUGAUUGCUAGAAAAUUCUAAAUUACUUGUGGAUUACGUUAUAUUUCCAAAGGGCAGAGGUAGCCCGUGUCAUCGUAUAUGAUUAACAAUUCUUAGUUACCCAUUAUGCGGUAUUCUUUAGGCUUGAACCUUCUGGUGUGUGCAUGGAUAAAUGAAUAUAAAUCUGUAUUCUUUUUAGAAUAGGAUUCUUUGAUUUAUCAGAUAUUUAUUAGUGCUUACAUGUGCCAGACAGUAGUCUAGGCACUGGUGAUACAGUCGGGAACAAAAUAAAACUUGCUGCCUUCAUGGAGUUAACUUUCUCAUAGAGACUAAAAACAGGCUAAGAUAAGUAAGAAAAAAAUACAUAAUCUGUUAGAGAGCCAUAAGUGCUUUCAAGGAAAGCCUCACUGCACGGGUGAUGUUCGAGCAAAGAGUUGAGGAAGGUGAGAGAAAGACCCUCCGGAUAUUUGGGGCAGAGCGGUCCAGGCAGAAGGAAUAGCAACACAAAGACGUCGUGGCAGGAGCUCUCCUGUUUGUUGGCAUGGGGAAAGGAGGCGUGGUGAUGGUUUGGAGAGAGUGAGGACGAGAUGAAAGGGAGUGCGUGGGCACAUCAGGCGAACACUUGCAAGGAUUUUGGCUUCGAGUAAGGUGGAAAGCAGUCGGUGGGUUUCGAGAUGAGAAGUGACAGGAUCUUUCUGUGGAAGCUGUUUUGACAAAAUGCUCGGGGGUGAGGGUGGGAGCGUUCGCAAGAGUGGAAGCAGAGAGCCCCGGUUCAGGGCUACCGCAGUGACCCAGGCGAGAGAGCCCAUAAACGAGGAGAGUGACGAGAAGUGGUGGAAUUAAUUAAUUACCCAUUACUGUGGACUUAUGUGGAAAGAGAGAGAAAGAGAUAUGUCAAGCUGUUCCACCUUAACAGCUGAGGAAUGGAGUGGAGUUGCCUUUGGUUGAGAUCGGGAGGAACAGAUUGACGGGGAGGGGGUGCUUAGUUUGCGACACAUUAACUCUGGGAAGCCUCUGUAGACAUCUAAGUGGAAAGGUCAGGUAGGCAGAGCCUGGAGUUCAACGAGAGGUCGGGGCUGAAGAGGCAAAUCGGAAAUCAUAAGCAAUUAUCAUUACUUAAAGCCCAAAGAAGAGUUGAAGCCACCGAGGCGGUGAGCACAGAUGGAAAAGAGGAGAGGAAACAGACCGUAAUUCCGUAGCAUCAUCCACACUCAAAGAUGCCCAUCGGACGAUGUUACUGAAUUAGUUUUCUCAGGUGUGGCAAUGAUGCUGGAGUUACAUAGGAGGUGUUCUUAUUUCUGGAAGAUGCAUACUUAGCUAUUUAGGAGUGAAAUGUCCUACAUCUAUUUUCCCCUUUCGGAUGGUCUGGCAGAAAGGAAUUACAGAAAAAGGUGGAGGAAGCAUGGUGAAAUGUCAGCAGUAGGCCUUUAGUAGGUAUUCAGGCAUGACUACCCGAGUACUUUCAACUUUUCUGUAAGUUCAAAAGUUUCUUUACAAGUGCCUCCGAAGAGGGACAGAUGUGAGGAUGGUGGGCUGCCGUUUUUCAUAAGCCCUUGAUGAGUAUUUGACUCUAUAAACUGCAUACAUGUUUAAGUUUGAUAAGAAUAAAAAGCAAUAAAAUAAGUCAAAUCUAAUAAGGGGAAACAUUAUAAUCUUGAGUAAUGUUAUGUAAUAAUCAAGUCAGUUCUUUGGAAAUUAGUACUUUUUAAAUAUGGCCGUUGAGUCUUAGGACUGGAAUUUACCUUGGAGACCUCUCAGCCUGCCUCCUCUACCCUAGAGAUUAAUAAAGUGAGUUUCAGGGGAAUUAAGGGACUUGCACAAGGUCACAUGCCUGUGUAGCAGCAGAGCCAGGACUAGAAGCCGGAUCUUUGUACUGCUGUUCCAUUAGUUAAAAAAAAAGGAAGCAGAGAGGUCUAGGACCCAAACAAAGGACCACGGCAACAAUCAGAGCUCGGGAGUCUCAACAAGAAGCGUGAGGAAGAGACGGGAAGGUAGACAUUGGGAUAUUCAAGUCACCAAGGGGAGAAAGUGUCUCUGGAAGCAAGAAUAACCAGCACUGUCAAAUGCUCCUGAUGGGUUAGGUAAGACUCGAGCUGAAAAUCGAUCCUUGACUCUAGCACCGAGGAGGUUGUUAGUGACCUUGACAAGAGGAGGAGGUUUUAGUGAAGUCAGAGGGAAACAGAUUCGAGGGAAAGCUUGGAGGAAAUGCCUGGAAGAGGGUGAGUGGAGACCCUCUUCUGAGGAACUGUGGAGGCAAAAGGGAGUCAGGGUUUUGGUUUUGUAGACGAAAGAAAUUACCUCAUUUCUCCCAAUGUGUGCGUUAGGAGAGAUUUCAAGGUACUCUUCUAAAAUGAUCCACCAGAUUUGUGGCAUUUAAGACCAUCACCUUGUGUAUGUGUGUAUGGGUAGGGUUACUGUUUCCCUCCCAGAAGGAUUUCAUAGAACAGUGUUUGGUAGGGGGGGGGGGGAGUGUGUGUGUGUGUGUGUGUGUAGAGGUUGGCAUUGUGUUAAAGGUUGCUUUUAUAAUUGUUACAGAUUUGACUUCAUUUCUUCUUGCUCAGGGUCUGUAUUCUCAUAGCUAUAAUUAAAAUUUUUAAGGAAAUAAAUGCUGAGCCUAUUCUCAACUGAAAGUGUUGAGAAGGCUAUUGCUUGGGGGCGGUAAUCUGUUUUCCUUGCCUUUAAAGAAGUUACCAAAAUGUUGGAAGAGAUGGCUGCAAAGACACGCCCAAGGUCACAAGACAAAAUGUCGCCAGCAUAACUGGAUCUUAGAUCUGAUUCACCUGCCACGUGGAAUACUUAACCCCUGUGUAUUUCACUUCCAACAGGUAUAAAAUGAGGAUAAGAUUUGCUCCACCUCCUGCAUGAGGUUUUCGUGUGUCAGCUACAAAGCCUUCUAUACACACGAGUCACAGUGCUAAAGGCAAGUUAGGCUUGAGGGUUUUCUGAAUAACUGGGGAGAAAAUGUGUUACAAAAUGUGGAUUGAGACGACUUACAACAAUACUAAUGGAAUCUGCAAGAGUUUGCUUUUGCCCCUGUCAGGCAUUGUUAAUAACACCACAAAAUCCGUCGUCUUUGGGCCCGUCAUAGAGUUUUGUGGUUAAGAGCCACGGCUGAGAUCCAAGCAGUCAAUCAAUUAAUCCCCUAGGAACUCAAAAUUACUGAACAACUGACUGUUCUAGUACUUUUAAUAUAAUGUUAGUUUGCUGGCACUGUGUGGCAGGGCUCUUAAAUGGAAAAUGACGCAGGCUAUGAUGAUAAAUUUUAUGUCAGACUCGGAAAGCAGUUCUGCAUUUGAUACUUGAAGUGGAAUUAUAGUCAUACUAUAUUUUUAAGAGGUUUACGUUAUGGGAGGUUGAGAGAUUAAAAAUGGAUAGAUAGCCAAGGUCACUCCCAUUAAUGAUGAUGUAAAGAGAUCGGGUGGUCCUUUCUUAAUAAAACAAGUAUAAAAUUGGACAAGAUUGACAAAAGCAAUAAUAAUUUCUGGCACUGGAGAUAGACUGGAAAGGCAGACAAUAAUCACACUGGAACGUUGGGUGACGAGUGGGAGUUCUGUGGCCUUUCUUGCCGGGGCCCCUCCCCCGCCUCUUAUCUCACUUGGUGAGAACUGCAGUUUUACCAGCGGGCACUUCUUACCAGAAGUGAUGGAUGCAGUUUGGUGGGGUUGGCAGUAAAAACCCACAGCUUUGCUGGUUAAAAGUGGCACACUCAGUUCAUAAUGGACAGGGAGAACCUACAGCUUUGCUACCUUGGUUUUGCAGUCUUGGGUUGGGGCCACCAGCCAGGAAUUUAACGGGGAGAUCCCUGAAAUGAGAGAGCCAUUAGGGCUGACAUCAGCUCUCCGCGCAGUCAUGGCUGAGGGCUGAACUUUGCAUGCCUUAGGGGAUAGAGACUCAAGACAGCCCAGCAAAAAGCGAAAGUCAGGGAGUUCCUUGAGAGUUGGAGACAACUUCGAAUGCUUUUCAACCCACAUAUAGCUUCCUCAGUGGAGGGGGGAAGCCUUACAGGUACAAUGUAUUUGGGCACAGCCUCUCCCCAAAUCACCGUGGCCUGUGGCUAACCAGGACACUAUGAAGACACAGAGGUAGCCUGGAGGGAACCAGGCCAUAGAACAGAAAUAUGAAUUUAAAAAGUAAGUAGGGGUGCCUGGCUGGCUCAGUCGGUGGAGCGUGCGACUCUUGAUCUCAGGGUUGCGAGUUCGAGCCCCACGUUGGGUGUAGAGAUUACUUCAAGACAAAGCAAAACAAAAAACUAAGACAACAGGGGCCACAUUCAUGGAAGAGGCAGAUUCUGCCGUAGAAGUACAAGCAGAUUUCUAAGAGGACCGCCACCCCUUGGAAAACUGAGGUCUGUCAGCUGAUAAGUGGAUGACUAAAACAUGGUGUAUUCAUAUAGUGGAAUACCAUUAGGCAGUAAAAAGGAAUGGUGUACUGACACAGGCUAUAAUGUGGGUGAACCUUAAAAACAUUAUACUAAGUGAAAGAAGAUAGCUCCAUUUAUAUGAAAUGUCAAGAAUAGAGAAAUCCAUUCAUAAUAGCAUCAAAAAGACCAAAAUACAUAUAAAUGAAUUCAGUGAGAGUUUAAUCAAAGGUAGUAAGUAUACCCAAAUAGGGAGGAACAUAUUGCCAUGUUUAUAGGUUGGAAGACUUAAUAUAGUUAAUGUGGCAGUUUCCCCCAAAUUAAUCUAUAGGUUCAACAACGUUGUCAAAAUCUCAGAAAGGAUUUUUAGAGAAGUAUCUAUAGAGAAAACAGAGUCUAAAAUUCUUAUGGAAAUGCAGAGAAUCUAGAAUAAUCAAAGUGACUUUAAAAAAGAAGUAAGUUGGGGGAUGUGUAGUACCUGGUUUCACAACCUACCGUAAAGCUACAGAAGCAAAGACUUUGGUAUUUGCAUAGGGAUAGACAUAUAGAUCAGUGGAACAGAAUGUCUAGAAAUAGUUGUAUUUCCUGUGUGGUCCACUGCUUUUCAACAGAGGUACUGAUGUCAUUCAGUAGGGACACCAUGGUCUUCUCAGGAAACAGUACUGCCACAAUUGGAUACCCAUGUGAACUAAAAUGUGCUUGACUUUUACUUUACAACACACACAAAAAUAAACUUGAAAUGGAUCAUAGGAAAUAUAAAGAAGGAAACAUAGCAGGAGGUUUUCUUGUCUUGAGUUAGAGACUUAGUAAAUAAGAUCUAAAAAGCAUGAGGUAUAUAAAAGAAAAAAUGAUAAACUGGACUUCAUCAAAAUUGCAGUUUUCUUUUCAGAAGACACCACUGUUAAGAAAAUGAAAAGGCAGGCCACAUAUUGGGAGAAAAUAUUUAUAAAACAGAUAAUCUGAUAAAGGAUUUGUGUCUUGAAAAUGUAUAAAGAGCUCUCUUAAAACUCAAUCAUAAGAGAGUAACCUAAUUUAAAAAUGUGCAAAAGAUUUGGAUAGACAUUUUACCAGAGAAGGUACAUGAAUGGUAGGUAAAUGCACACAUGAAGAGAUUUUCAAUAUCAUUAAUCAUUAGGGAAACGCAAAUUCAAGCCGUAAGAUACUGCUGUGCACCCACUCUACUGGCUAAAACUAAAAAAGACGGACAGUCCAUGUGUUGGCAAGGAUGUAAAAACAAACAAACACAAAAAAACCCAGAAUACUCACACAUUGGUAGUGGGAAUAUAAAAUGGUACAGCCAUUGUUGGAAAACGUUUGUUAAAAAGUUCAGCAUACACUUAACAUAUGACCCAGCAAUUCUGUCCCUAGGUAGGCCAUCAGGAGAAGUAACAGCAUAUAUCUAGACAAAAACUUAUAUACAGUGUUCAUAACAGCUUUAUCUAUGGUUGUCAAAAAUUAGAAAUUGUGUAAAUGCCCAUCAGCAGAUGGGUGGAUAAGCAAAUUGUUACACAGUAAAGGAAAGCAAUGGACUGCUGAUAUAUACAACAGCAUGUAUGAAUCUCAAAGUGAUUAUACUGCAUGAAAAAAGCUGGCACUCCCCCCUCCCCACCCCAGAGUAACAAUACAGUCUGAUUCCAUUUAGGUGAAAUUAUACAAAAUGCAAACUAACUGAUUGUGACAGAGCAGAUCAUUGGUUGCCUGAGGAUGGCUUAGGGGAGGAGGGAGAAACGGAUUCUCAAGGGAGGGGUACAGUGAAGCAUUGGGGUGAUUAUAGAUUCAUUAUCUUGAUUAUGCAUGAUAGUUUCAUGGGUGUGCACAUAUGUAAAAGUUCAUCAAAUUGCAUAUUUUAAACAUGUGCAAUUUAUUAUAUAGGAGUCCUACCCCAAUUAGGUUAUAAAAAUUGUGCCCAUUCAAAAAGCAAGCAGAUGUUCAUAGCAGCAUUAUUUGCGAUAGAUAAAAACUAAAAACAAUCCAGUUUGUCAACUGGUGAAUAGAUGAGGAAAAUGGUCAUACAGUGGAGUAUUAUUUAGCCACGAAAAAGAAGGAAACACUAGUUCACACUACUGAUAGAUGCUACAACACGGAUAAACCUCAAAAACAUUGUGGCAGCUGAAUGAAAUCAGAAACCGAGAACUGUGUAUUGUAUGAUACCAUUCAUAUGAAAAUUUCAGAAAAGGCAAAGCCAUGGGUAGAUCCGUGGUUGUCUGGGGCCAGAGGUGGGAGCCGAGACUAGCCAUAAACAGGUACAAGGGAACUGUUGUGUCAGUGGAACUAUUCUUGGUGAUAGUUGUGCUGCAGUUGAAUAAAUUUACAAAGCAUGUCUAACUGUACCCUUAAAAUGGAUGACUUCCGUGGCCUGUAGAUUAUACCUUAAUAAAGCCAUUAAAAGGUGAUUAACCACUCAACAUUUUAAAUUCUCUUUAAGAUGACCAUUCAAGAAAUUGGACUAGAUUGCUGAUUUCAUUGUUAUCUAUUGCUUUGGCAUACUUUGGUGAGACCAAUUAAACUGAUGUUCUAUGCCAAGUACUUUUUGAGAUUCUAAUUGUAAAACAGAAAUCAUUAUUAGUUGUCUUUCAUGGAAUUUAGUGGCUACUAACCACUGUUUUUCCCUUGCACAUGAACACUGAUUUUAUGUUUAAUAAUUGUUACCCCCCCCUCCCCCGCCGCUGGAAGAAAUGGUGGCUUCUUAGAUUAAUAUUCUGUUCGUGUAAAGCAGUUCCAACAUGUGGAGGGUAGGUUAUCAGGAAGGAAUUUGAUGAUGGAGUAAUACUUUUGCAUUUAAAAUUUUUUAAUGUUUAUCGAUUUUGAGAAAGAGCGAGCGCAUGCACGUGGGAAGGGCAGCGGGAGAGGGAGCAGCCUCCACGCCCAGUAUGGAGCCCAGUGAGGGCCUGGAUGUCAAGACUGUGACAUCCUGACCUGAGUUGAUAUCAAGAGUUGGAUGCUCAACCGACUGAGCCCCCAGGAGCCCCCCACCUUUGCAGGUUUUAGAUAGAGAAAAGCACACCUUUCUAGGUGUUGGGUGUCCACCCACGUGUCUCCAGCCCCAUGUUUGUGGAGAUGUCAGGUAAUCUGGGCAUGAGAUCCUUUGGGUGUGGGGAUGGGGAAACUGCAAACAAGAGAAUUCCUUCCAGAGCCCUUUUUUGGCUGGGUCUGGCCAUGUUCUGUACCAGACUAGGAGUCAGGAUCUCCGGGGUUAGUGACUUCAUGCCUGCCUUCACCUCCAUGUCUUCAUAUAUAAAAUUGGAAAUUGAGGUUUGCUUUUUUAGGUAAAAGUGAGUCUCUUUCUAUUAGAAAGUUGCCUAAUUUUGAUGAAAAAUCAAGAAUCCUGGAACAUUUUGCCCACGAUUCUGCCUCAUUCUAUGCAAAUUAGAGUAAUUUAUUUUGAAAACAACCAGAGUCAUUUGGUUUGACUGAACCAAAUGACUGAAAGUCGUUAAUUCAUUUUCCCAAAUAAAGUAAUUCUACUUUUCCCCGUUUUUCCUUCCCCCCAAACAAAUCCUUUAUUCAGCAAAGAUUUAUAGGCACUCUGAAGUUGAGAUAAACCUGCAAAAAUAACGGAAGCAUGGGGGUGGGGUAGGGGCUGAUAUCUAACCUGCCUUCAGUAGGGGUACGGGGGCUGUACAGAGAGGGGCUGGGAAAGCUCUGGGGAAGGGCAUGUGGAGAGCUGAGUUUUGAAGGGUAUAUAGGACUUGGCUGUUAUCCAGGUGGUGGGGACGGGGGGAGUUUGCUGGAGACUUGAAAGCUGUGGCAUUGGCUUUAAAGAAGAGAGAAGAGGGUGAAGAGCUUCGGUGAGUGGGGGUGACUUUUGACUUUGUGACUGGCAGAAUUUGAAGGAUUAAGGGAGAAAAGAAAGGAGUCAAGGGUAAGUUCAGCCUCAGCCUCAGCUGUCUUAAGCAAGUGGAGUCAAGAUAAGUUCAAGCUCAGCCGUCUUAAGCAAGUGGUGGUAUCAUUCAUUGACCUGGGAACAGAAGGCCCCCAAAAUUAGUUUUGCUUGUUGUUUUGGGAAGACAAGAAUUCACUUUGGAGGUUUUAUCAGAGGAGUGCAGCUAUUCGCACACACUCGAUUGAACCUAAAAGAUGAUGCUCUGACCCCUUGUCCAGCUUUGUCAGGACACCCAUGGAGCAUUAGGGACAAGAGUGAAAACUUGACAUGGUCUUGGUGGUCUGUGUUUGUGCAGCAUCACAGGCUGUCGAGUCUGUCACAUGUGCACAGGUAAAAUCCCCCUUGAAAAUGGCAGUCACAGAGUGCAGAAAUUCUGGCACAUGAAAACCUAUCACAUUUAAGAGUUUAGUAGUUCCUUUGGUUACUCUUUUCUCCCUGAUCUCUCCUCUCUGGAUUUUUAUCAUUUGUAAAGUAUAUACUUUGUACUUCUUUCCUAUAAAAAAGAUGAAAAUGGGUGAAGUUUAGAAAAGACCGCUCAACCUUUCACGUGCAUCAGGUCAUUUAGCUUUUAAAACAACCUGGUAAAGGAGGUACUUUUCAUCGUACUGGUUCACGAUAAAGAUUUAUAGUAAAGAUGUUUGGAAAUCAACAGGUUUAAAGUUUUUGACAUGCCAUUAGCACAAAAUAUAAAUUCUUAUUCAGGUCUGUUGACUUUAGCAUGUAAACAAGGGUGGCAAUUUAUUUUGGAAAUUCUAUUUAUUUCUGCCUUGUCCUUCUUUUGAAAGCACUUUGGUAACAAGUAGAUUCAUGAUCCAUAAAAUAAUACCCUACUUUAUACUUUCUGAGAAUAUUUUCUAAGAAUCAUUUGGAAAAUAACUUUCUCAUGAAAACGUUUGCCAGUUAUUUACUUUUCUUUUUUUUUUUAAUAAUCACGAAUAUAUGUUAAACCAAAGAUGCUAUGUAAGCAGUUGCUUUAAAACUACAUCAAAACAGAAGUUAAAAUUAGGUUCUACCUAUGGCUUCAGAUUUAUCUUUUAGUAAUAUGUGGUCAGAUCUUGCUUUAAAUGUAUUCUUGAUUGAAAUACCUUGAGGAAGUAAGUUGGUGGACCUCAGGCUGUUCCCUUGUCUAUAAGAUGAAGACCAGGAAAUACCUGCUCCAGUGAUGUAAAAAUAACUUCUUGGGUUUAGUUUAAGUGUGUGUACACAGGCGGUUCCCUUUUGUACCACAAGAGGGAGUGCCUGCGUUGUCGCUAACCUGAGCUGAGCUCUGAAGUCCUUUCUAAAAUGUGGUUGCAAAGUUCCAAAUGAGUGGAUUGCUGGGAAAAUGAGAAGGGAAAAGAUUGUUUUGACAGUGUCACGGGAAGGAGGUACUCAAAACACAGUUAUGAAAAGGAAGGGAUUGAAUUUUAAGAUACGAAGGCUUUUGCUGACAUACAUCAUUACAGAUUUCCAUUCCCAGUCAACAACCCUUCUUCUUUGCUUGUAUCCUCCGAGAAUUUUGAUUUAUUUUGUUUUCUUCCUUCUUUGCAACUGUAUCUAUAAAUCUUUUGUAUCAAACAAAUACAGAACCCAAAGUUUAGUUUCUCAGUAGUGGUCCUGAACAAUGAAUAUUGGUUAAAGAUAAAUUGGAUUGUUUAUGCUCUAAGCCUUCGACAUGUACAACAUCUGUUUGUUUGCCUUAAAUUGGCAAAUCAGAAAGAUUUGAACGUUUUCAUCCUGCCUUUCUCCCUUCAUACUUUUUUUUCUUUGUUCAUGCUUCUGAAUUCUUUUAUGUGAUGUUUUCCUGUCAUACAUAGCUCAGAAGAUUGGGUGUGGACAAGGAAAAACAUUGUUCUGUGGGUGAACCCCUAGGGACAUGGAAGUAAUUAUAUUAUACAGUGAAAUUUAAAAAUUUGAGACCAAGAUCAAAGCCAAACAAAAAAAGUGAAUUUGGCAAUUGUGGAAUUAUUCCAGUAAAUUUGGGUUAAUAAUUCAGUUUUAUCUCAGCUGUGUGAAUAUUUCAUGUCAAUGUUGGUUUUUUAAUUUAAAUCAUCCCUUUAUGAUAUAAAGAUAAUCCCUUUAUUUUGCUAAUGUUUGUAUUAUAAAUACAAAAGUCAUGAGCCCAUCGUGUUUUAUGUAACGGUAAUUAUACUGUUAACGCUUUUUGUAUUAGAAAAUUUUCUGAAUUUAGAAAAACAACAAUCCCAGGCAUCUGGGAUUAUUACUCUGAACCUUGCUUUUAGAAGAUUUCUCUGGAGCUUGUUUCUAGUAAUAAAUUUGUCCAAGUUUGGGGUCAGACUGUUCUGGUUCAAGUAUGGAACCACUGUGUUUGAAACUUGACAAAAGCACACUUAUCCCUAUAAUUUCAUUUUCACUUGUUUGAAAUCUGGUAAUUUCUUGAGCAGGAAAAACAGAAGUGGAAUUACUAUAGAAAUUAUGCCCAUUUUAUCUGUAUAGCAGCCAGUUUAAAAAACGAUCAUUGCUGGGACCCUGUAAAGAGUUAUAAAACUUAUAAAUACCUUUGAGAUUGCAACAUUCAAAAGAGAAAACAUGAAAGGAAAAACUCUGUAGCUCUAUUUUCUUUGCUUCUACUGCAAAAUUUGUUCUUGUUUCCAAAUGUGGGCACACCCAUGGUAAUCUGUUGUUCACAUGGAUGUCAUCCGUCUUGUUUUGGUAAAAAGAAGGUAGAGAACAGUUGAGACAGGGGCAAGCUGUUCCUUUUAUUAAAAAAAUGUUUUUUAAGUUUAUUUAUUUUGGGAGAGAGAGAAAAAAAAAUGAGUGCACGUGAACAGGGAAGGAAGGGAAGAGAGAGAAUCCCAAGCAGGCUCCGUGUUGUGAGCGCAGAGCCCAGUGCAGGGCUCGAUCCCACGACCGUGAGAUCAUGACCUGAGCCGAAAUCGAGUCGGAUGCUUAACUGACUGAGCCAUCUGUUCCUUUUCUUUUAAAGUUACUUUAAAAAUUAAAGAAUAUUUCAGGCAUAGGAAGGAAGUAUAAGGAAUAUUAAAGAAUUGAAGUGUUAUGUGUUAUGUAGUUAUUAAAACAUGGUAUGUAUCGUUCCAUAAGCCUGACCCUCUUCCUGCCUUACAGAGGUGUAAUGUCCUGAAUUUGGUGUUUAUCAUUCUCAUGCAUAUUUUUACACUUUUCUAAGUACAGAUUUAUUCCUAAACCUAAAUAGAAGGUACGUGAUUUUUACCCUUUUAACCAGUUUCUGAAUGUACAUUAUUGUUAACCGUAGGCACAGUGUUGGACAGCGUAUCUCUAGGAAUUUUCCAUCUGGCACUACUGAAACUUUCUAUACACUGAACAGCAAUCCCUCAUUUCCCCUAAAAACCAUCUUUCUCCUUUGAGCUUUUAUGAGUUUGACUGUUUCGGAUACCUCAUAUAAAUGGAAAUCAUGCAGUAUUUAUCCUUCUGUGACAGGCUUGUGUCACUUGGUGUGAUGGCCUCAGGGUCCUUCCGUGUUGUCACGUACAGCAAGAUUUCCACCUUUUUAAAGGCUGAUUAAUACUCCCUUGUUUGUAUGUGUCACAUUUUCUUUCAUUCAUCUGUUGAUGGACAUUGAGGUUGUUUCCACCUCUUUGCUGUUGUGACUAAUGCUGCAGUAAACGUGCAAGUGCAAAUAUCUCUUUGAGAUCCUGGUGUCCUAUGUUUUAGAUAAAUAUCCAGAGGUGGAAUUGUUGGAUCAUAUUAUAGUUCUAUUUUUAAUAUUUUAAGGAGCUUCCAUACUGUUUUCUGUAGUAGCUGAACCAUUUUAAAUUCCCAUCAGCAGUGCACAAAGGCCUCUAUUUCUUCACAUCCUUGCCAGCUUUUGUUACUUUUUUUUGUGUUUCUUUUUUUAAAGAUUUUUUUUUAAUUUUCUAAUUUUUUAAAAGUAAUCUCUCCACUCAACAUGGAGCUUGAACUCGCAACCCUGAGAUCAGCAAUUGCACAUUCUGCUGACUGAGCCAGCCGGGUGCCUGUUGUUUUUGUUUUUGUUUUUGUUUUUGUUUUGUUUAUAAUAGCCAUUCUAACAGGUGCGGGGUGAUAACCUCAUGGUUUUAUUUGCAUUUUCCUGAUGAUUGGUGAUGCUCAGCAUCUUUUUAUAAUACCUGUUGCCCGUUUGUAUGUCCUUUUUGGAAAAAUGUCUAUUCAAGUCCUUUGUGCAUUUUUUAAUCGUGUUCAUCUGUCUAUCUUUAUCUAUUUUUGCUGUUGAGUUGUAGAGGUCCCUAUAUAUUAUGGAUAUUAAUUCCUUACCGGAUAUGUGGCUUGCAAAUAUUUCCUUCCAUUCUCUAGGUUUCCUUUCACUUUGUGGAUUGUUUCCUUUGCUGUGCAAAAUCUUUUUAGUUUGGUGUAGUCCCACGUGUCUGUUUUUGCUUUUGUUGCAAGACCAGGGUCAUGAAGCUUUUCCCCAUUUUUUUUUUUUUUGGCACUAGAACCGUUUUAAUAUAUGAUACGUAUCUGCCAGAGAAGAGGUUUAUGCGUGUACAACUUUAUCAGUUAACAUCUGCAAGCAUACAUGACAGUGAUCUCAAUUUAUAAAUUCAUCAGGGUCAGAGCAAUGGACCAGUGUCUCUUUACUGCCCUGCUUACCAGCUGUAAAUUACAGAUGCAUUAGUGUCCUUUUGUUGCUCUUCUUUGACUCUCCUUGUCCAGAGACAUUUUGUUGUCAAGUUUCAGUGCAGCUCACCUCCAGCCAAAGGUAAUCUUUUUAGAUAAGUGCUCAGUUGCUACGAAUUUUGCUUAUAAUUAUAACCUAUUUAAUCACAGAAGAAGCUCUGCAGACGUGAAGUUCAAGGUUGCAUACGAUAACAGAUCACAGUUUUGAAGUCGAGCACAGAUUAAAAACCACAGAUGUACCACUUAUGUAAGACACACACCAGUCAUCUUUUAAGCUGCACAGUGACUCCGUAUGAACAUUAUUUUUUUUUAAGUUUAUUUAUUUAUUUUGAGAGAGAUGGAGAGGGAGAGAAUCCCAAGCAGGCUCCACACUGUUAGUGAGGAGUCCUAUGUGGGGCUCUAACUCCCGAACUGUGAGAGUAUGACCUGAGCUGAAGUCGGAUGCUUAACUGACUGAGCCUCUCAGGCGCCCCUUUGUGAACAUUAUGUUUUAUUUUUUGUGUAUUUUUUUAUUAUUUUUUUAAUGUUUAUUUACUUUUGAGAGAGAGGGACACAGAGCGUGAGCGGGGGAGGGUCAGAGAGAGAGGGAGACACAGAAUGUAAAGCAGGCUCCAGGUUCUGAGUUGUCAGCACAGAGCCCGUGCAGGGCUCGAACUCACAAACUGCGAGAUCAUGACCUGAGCUGAAGUUGGAUGCUUAACGGACUGAGCCACACAGGCUCCCCUUUAUGAACAUUAUUAUUAUUAUUAUUAUUAUUAUUAUUAUUUUUAAAGUGCAUCUAUGACAAUCAGUCACACAAAGUUUUUCAGUGCCAAGUACCAGUUGGUCAUGAAACGUGAGUGAGCUUGAGGCACUGUCCAUUCCUAAGGUUCAGCCAGAGAUUGGCCAGAACAUUGGAACACCUCUGCUUAGGAAGGCUGUUUCCCUCCCUCCUUUCCCUCACCUUUUCGUUUGGUGUUUGGCUGCACAUGGCUGGAAUGCUUUUGAUUGUUUUGCAAAUCAGGAGAACCAGUGAUCUAAAACUAUGCCAGGAUCCUAAGUAGUCCUGUCUGUCCAUUUCAGGCUGCUGGUUGGUAGGUCCCUCUCAGGGCCUUCAUUCCUCCUCCUGUGACUCCCAGAACGUUGAUCAGAAGGUCAGAGCAUCAUCACCUCUAACUCUUUGAACUAAUGCCUGGCUGACACUGGAACGUGCAGCCUGGUCUCUUUGAAAAUCACUCACAAAAAGAGCUUCUGCAGGGCUUCAUAAAACCUGGAAUUGCUAUGAAGAUGUCUGAUCUUUAUAAUCCAGGCAGUGAGCAUUGAAGGGAAGCUUCCAAGAGGCAGUUGGGUGCUUACAAUCCAAGCAAUCAGUGGUUGAAUUAAAACGCAAGCUUGAAGCUCCAUAACCCUGGGUGGAAAGAGAAGCUAAGGACGGGUUGAGAUAGCUGGUGGCUGCACCGGUACCCAUAGGGCUGAGUGUGUCCCCCGGUCCAGGAAGCUGGUGACACAUGGGGGUCAGGUAACAUCCUUGGCCCGUGCCCCCAAGUAGGAAGCUGAGCAGCAUAUCCUUGACCGUCAUCUGAAGCCUGUGUAUGGAUCACAGGAUAGGACCUGUGUAUGCAGGAAGAGGAGGGGGACAAGGAAUACGACAGUGGGGAGACAGAAUCUGGAGUCCAGAUAGACUCGAGAGCACUGCUUCUGGAAAUGGUGGGCACUGAGGUGCUAGAGAAGGGAGCGAAUUGGCCGCUUGUUCCACUCUGUGAACUCGGUUCCUGAUCUGGAGAUUUCUUCAUUUUGGCUUUGUUUGACUUGGUUUUGACCUCCCUUCUGUUGUUGCUGCUGCUACUGGCAGCACUUAGCCCAUUGAUUCUUAAGCCUGGUUCUUUUUCCUGGACCUGGACAAGCUGAUUUUCAGCACCACCUCCACGGCAUGAAGAUGUCAGGGUACCAGGUCUUAGCAGACAGCACUUCGAGCGUGUCUGGCUGCACCUGGGUGAACGUUGUCCUCUCCUGACUCUGUUUGGGUGGUGGGGGGUGGCCAGGUGGCCCACUGAGGGGCGCAGCAGGUACAUGCCCGAGGUGGUCAGACUCAGCCCAUUGACUGUGUAAGGCGGUUGCUUAAGAUACCCUGCUAACGUUUGGGCGUGCAACGUGCAGUGUUUGGAAGUACCCUCUCAAUUGGGGGUACCCAGCUAGAAGGUCUGUCUUCUCCUGGGGUGGGCAGGUUCUGGGUCCUUGGUAGGUGGGUUUGCAGUGAUGGAGCUAAGGGCAAGGCAGACAGACAGAGGUGCUGUUCUGUAGGCAUCCUCUUCCUAUGUUUUCUUCUAGAAGUCGUCCAGCUUCAGGCCUUAGGAUUCAGUCUCUAACCCACUUUGAGUUGACUUCUGCAUGUGGUGUGAGAUCAGGGUCCAGUUUCAUUCCUUUGCAUGAGGAUAGCCAGUUUUUCUGAUUAUUUAUUGAAGACAUUAUCCUUUCCCUUUUGUGUCCUCUUCCUCCUGGCACUCUUAUUGAAGAUCACUUGCGGGGUGUACGUGUGGGUGUAUUUUUGGGCUCCCUCUUUGGUUCCAUUCGUCUCUCCAUGUCGGUCUUUACGCCAGGACCAGUUUGAGAAGAAUUCACUUUAGUGCCUUUUAAAAUAUUUGGUAGAAUUCACCAGGGAAGCUGUUGGUCCCGUGCUUUUCUUUGUUGGGGCGCCUUGGAUUACUGAUUGAACUUCCUUACUAGUUAGAGAUCUGUUCAAAUUUUCUGUUUCUUCUUAAUUUGGUCUCUGCAGGUUGUGUAUUUCUAGGAUUUUUUUCCAUUUCUUUUCCAUUUCCAUUUUUUUCCAUUUUCCAGUUUGUUAACCUUGUUUGAUCCUUUUAGUUUCUGUGGCAUCAGUUACAUUGUCUCUUCUUUCAUUGCUGAUUUUAUUUAUUUGAGCAUUCUUUUUUCUCUUAGUCUAGCUAAAGGCUUGCCAAUUCUGUUGCUCUUUUAAAAAAAAAACAAGUUUUAGCCUUUUUGUCCCCUAUUUGCUCUCUUUUUUAAUUUAUGCUCUAAUCUUUAUUCUUUCCUUCUUGCUGCUAACUUUAGACUUCAGUUUGCUCUUUUUCAAGUUCCUUGAGGUAUAAGGUUAGCUUAUUUAUUUGGGAAUCUUUCCUCUUUCUUAACGUGGGUGUUUAUCACCAGGAACUUCCCUCUCAGUAUUGCUUCUGUCAUAUCCCAGAAGUUUUAAUAUGUUGUGUUUUCAUUUUCGUUUUUUUUCCAAGAUAUUUUCUAACUUUCCUUUUGAUUUCGUCCGUGACCCAUUGGUUGUUCAAGAGCGUGUCAGUUAAUUUUCACAUGCUUGUGAGUUUUCCCAGUUUUCCUUCUGCUUUUGAUUUCUGGUUUCAUUCCACUGUGGUCAGAAAAUAUACUUGGUAUGAUUUCAGCCUUCCUAAAUUUGCUAUGGCGCAUGUUUUCAAACAAGAUAUAAAUUGUAUCUGUUGAAAGAAAGUAGAGUUCCAAGGAACGCAGACUCUGAGAAGCAGAUAAACACGCAGGAAGUUUACUAAGGAAGUUUUAGGAUUAACGCCCGCGAAAGAGACGGAAGCAGGACUGGGCAGAGAGAGAGACUGGGCUGCGGUGCAGUCACAAGGAAGCCCUCAGCCCAUCCCAAGGGGAGUGGAGAGGCGGGCUAGCCCUUCAGAAUUGCCCCAGCUCUGGGUGAGGGGUCAGGCACUGAGCUGCCCCUGGAGAGGGGACAUGACUUGGGCGAGGUGACCCUGCUCAGCUGAGAACUGUCAGCCUGCAGCACUCCCAGUGGCUGGGGGAGGAAGCCCUUCAGCGCUAAAGGAGACCUAGCGGCACAAAGAUCUCAGGGUUCGCCGCGGUGCAUGUUGUGUGUUCUGUUCUUGCCUUCUUGGCCCAAUACUAUUUUAUUUAAGGUUUGCUUAUUUUAUUUUGAGAAAGAGCGUGAGCAGGGGUGGAGCAGAGAGAGAGAGAGAGAAAGAGAGAAAGAAAUUCGAGCAGGUUUCACACUAAGCCAGAUGCAGGGCUCCAUGUCACAACCGGGAGAUUGUGACUUGAGUCGAAGUCAAGACUUGGCCGCUUAACCGACUGAGUUACCCAGGUGCCUCUCAAUUUUACGUUUUUUGAGAUUUGUUCAUAUUAAUGUCCGUAGCUGUAGUCACCCAUAUUAAUGGUCUUACAAUAUUCAGUUUUUUUCCUAAAUAUUUACUUAGUUUUGAGAGAGAGAGGGAGAGAGAUAGAGUCUGAGUGGGGGAGGGGUAGAGAGGGAGGGAGAGACAGAAGCAAGAAGCAGGUUCCAGGCUCCGAGCUGUCAGCACAGAGCCUGACGCGGGACUCGAAGCCAUGAACUUUGAGAUCAUGAUGUGAGCUGAAGUUGGAUGCUUAACUGACUGAGCCACCCAGGCGCCCCUACGGUAUUCAGUUUUAUAAAUAUGUCAUAAUUUUUAAAUAGAUUUCCCUGUUGACUGACAUUGAAGUUUUGCAGUGUUUCACUGUUAAAAAAAAAUGUGGCUAUGAACAUUUUUUAUAUAUCUCCUUAAUGUAUGUACUUAGUUCAUCAGGGUUAUGUAACCAGAAAAUUCCUGGGUCUUAGGAUAUGGACAACUUCAACUUUCAUAACUACACUGUAAUGAAGUUUCUCACUGAAGUGGUUUUACCUUGCUUUAUACCCUUAAGACACUUGUCAUUGUCAGACUAAUUUUUCCAGUUUCAUGGAUAUGAAAUGGUAUCUCAGUGUGGUUUUAAUUAGAAUUUUGUUGAAUUCUGGUGAGAUUGAGAAUUUAUGUGUUUGUUAGCUCCUGGGGUUUCUACUGUGAAGUGUGAAUUCCAAUUACGUGCCCAUUUUCCUAUUUUUUAUUUUAUUUUAUUUUAUUUAUUUUAUGCUUUUUAAACAGUGUUUGAAAUUUAUUUUUAGAGACAGCAAGAGGGCAGGGGGGAGAGAGAGAGAGAGAGAGAGAGAGAGAGAGAAUCCCAAGCAGUCUCUGCACUGUCAAUGCAGAGCCUGACAUGGGGCUUGAACCCACAAGCCAUGAGAUCAUGACCUGGACUGAGAUUGAGAGCUGGACGCUUAACUGACUGAGUCAUCCAGGUGUCUCUCUCUCUUUUUUUUUUUUUUUUAAGUUAAUUUGUAGACAGUCUUUAUAUAUUUUUCUUAUCCAUUCUUUGUUAUCUCUGUGUGUAUACUUUCCUCCUGGAUUGGGGCUUAAUUGUUCACUUUUGAAAUAAUACAUUUCGCUGAAUAAGAGUUUCCUUUAGAUGCAGUCAGAUUUAACUAGUCCUUUUCUUUGGCAUUCUUUGUGUCUUAUUUUUAAAAUUCUUCCUUAGGCUAGGUCGUAUAGAAAUAUUCUCCUCCGUUUUCUACUACAAGUUUUGAAAGUUUUGCUUUCCAUGGUUUCACCUGCAACCCAUUUAAAAUGGAGUUAUGUGUCUGUUGGGAGGUCUAGAAACCUCAUGUUAUUUUUCUCUGGACAGCAGGUUUUCCUGGCAAUGCUCGUGAACCGGUUCAUCUUGGAUGCACCACAGUGCGGUGCGGUUCGGUGCUGUGGUCCAUUUGUGGAGACCUUUUGGGGGUUAUCUUAUGCUCUGGUCUACUUGUUUUUUUCCCCCGCUCCAAUUUCACACUUUCUUUAUUGUCUUUAUUUCUGUGUUGUGUUGUUUUUUGGUAGAACCAAUCCUCCCCUCUCUUUGUUCUUCUUUAAAACUGUUGUUACUUUUUGUCUUUUGAUCUCUGAUACGCAUUUUAGAGUUGCGUCCAAUGAAAAACCUUCCUUUGAUUGAGUUCAUGCGCUGAAUUUAUAGAUUAAUUUGAGGAGAAUUGGCAUCUUUGUAGAACAGUGGGUGUUUCCCAGUGUUUUCUUUUUUUUACUGUUUAUUUUGAGAGAGCAAGCACGAGCGGGGGAGGGGCAGAGAGAGAGAGAGAGAGAGAGAGAGAGUCCCCAAGCAGGCUCCACGGUGUCAGCCCAGAGUCCGGUGGACACUUAAGUCGGGCGCCCGGGUGGCUCGAGUCGGUUGAGCGUCUGGCUCUUGCUCUUGGCUCAGGUCAGGAUCUCACAGUUCAUGAAAUUGAGCCCCAUGUGGGCUCUGUGCUGACAGUGUGGAGGGAGCCUACUUGGGAUUCUCUAUCUCCUCUCUCUCUGCCCCUCCCCCAUUCUCUCUCUCUCUCAAAAGUAAUAAAUAAACAUUAAAAAAAGAGCGAGACGCAUAACCGACUGAGCCCACCCAGGCGCCCCUCACUGUUUUCUUUAAUACCCACAUGUAGGUCCUCUUACUGUACACAACAUUUUUGUAACUUACCUUUCUACUUGAAUACACUUUCAUGUUAAUAAAUAAAUGUCUCCACCAACAAUUUAACAACUACACGAUAAUCCACGUGGCUAGAGAGUCAUUUAUUUAAUCGUGACCGUAUUGACAUUUAGAUGAACAUGUUUCACAGUGAUUAUUCUGGAACUCCAUCUUUCUCAUGACAAAAUUAUACAUGCAGCUACGUUUUAUUCUAGUACUGCUGGGAUAUUGUAUAUAAUUAAGUAUUUAUCUGAGAUGUGUUCAGGUGUAAGGUGCGAGAAAAGUAUCUAACUGAUUUCCUCCCCAUAUGGUUAACCAGUUUUCGUGUACUUUGUCCUUUUGGUUUGACUGUCUUUGCCUGUUUUGUGUCACCACCCAGCAGCCAUCAACAGUGCACACCGUAAAUGUUUGAGUAAGUGAACCAGUUUUUAAUGUUUGCUUUAUUUUCAGAGGUGUUUUCUUCUGUGUUGACCUGUCGGUUCAAGCCAGUACCACACUGUUGGAAUGAUCAGAGCCACUGGAAUAAGACUCCCCUCUCCUCCUCCUUCUCCUCCUCCUCCUCCUUCUCCUUCUUCAUCAUCAUCAUCAUCACACUUUUUCAGAUUUUCCUAGGCUAUUUCUGCACCACUUUUUCCCCCCCUGAACUUUAACUAAUUGGCCACUGUCCCUUUAAAACGGUUAUAAUUUCGAUUGACAGUAUAUUCAUUUUCUGAAGAAAUUUGAAGAUGUUUAUAUGUAAAGUUUCUGGCCUAAUAAGUACUGCAUGUUCCUCUAGUUUGUAGAUUCUGAAAUUGUUGGGUUAGAGAAGAUAAAUCCCCAGAUUUCCUUUUCGAUUGAAAUUCAGGGCAAUUAAAGAAAUUCGUUGCAGCCAACAGAAUCCUAGCACAUGUUUAUUCUGUAAAGACAAAACGUUUUUCUAUAUUGAGCUGCACUUCAACGGCUUUGCCUCCUUCUUAAAAAACACGGCUCACAUGGUACCACACGCUCCCUGUCCGGACAGAUACUUGCAAAUAGGUAACAACUGACGUGCUGUUUGGUCAAAGACCUGGUUUUUCUUUAAUAUGGCCUACCCUCUCCCCUUUCUCCCACCAACCCUUAAAGGAAUUCUGUGCCCCUACUUCUCUGGUUUACCUUUUUUAGGGUAAAGAAAUAGGCUACAAAGCUCGUGGGCACUAGGGAAGUCUGCAUAACUCUUUUUCACACCUGCUUGGAUUCUGGCAGUGGUAUUUGCUAAGUGGGGAUGAAGGCUGGUUUGUCAUGUGUUCUCGCAGAGCACUGAUGGCUGCAGGCCAACCCAUUUAGCCUUUGUUUUUUUUUCUUGCAUAAAACUGCCUAUUUUUCACUUCAGAUGGGGGUGUUAGGCACUUGAGAGAUGUUUGUUCUUGUCACAUGCACGCCAUCUGUGAUCUCCUGGCAUCCUACGCAGGUUCCCAAGUUGGCCAGAGUGUCCGCGGGUCAGUGCACCGGAUGGUCAGGGUCCUAGCCUAUGUGUGUUGGUGGAAGCAGUGCUACUGAACACACUCAAGUAUCCGACUGGGGCUGUGGACUCAGUUUUGGAAAGUUCGAAGAAGCCCUUUAUGUAGAAUAAUUUCGGCCUUGAAGAAAAGUCACAAAGAUAGUACAGAGAGCUCCCAUAUGCCCCUCACCCCAUUACCCCAACUGCUGCUUCUUACAUUAUCCUGCGACAUCUGUCACAAUUAAAGAGCAAGCGUUGCUACGUUACAAUUAACUAAAACCUGCACUUUGUCCACAUUUCACUGGUUUUUCCCUAACGUCGUUUUCCUGUUCUGGGAUCCACAUUCCAUUUUAUUGUCCUGUCUACUUCACUUCUUCUGGUCUGUGACAGUUUCUCAGACUCUCCUUGUGUCUGAUGACAUUGUCAGUUUGGGGAGUACUGGUCAGAUACCUUGUAGAAUUUCCCUCAGUUUGGGUUUUUCUCAUGUUUUUCCUGAUUGGACUGGAGUGAUGGGCUUUUGAGAGGAAGACCACAGAAGCGAAGUGAUAUUCCUGCCACAUUGUAUGAAGGGGACAUGCCUUGUCCCUCAUGAUGUUGACCUUGAUCACCCGGCCAGGGUAGUGUUGCCAGGUGUAAAUUUCUUUCCCACCUUCUUCCAUUCUCUGCUCUUUGGAAGUGAGUCACUAAGCACAGCGUAGACUCAAUUUAAGAGUUUCGUUAACUGUCUCAUCUAUCUGUGUCCUAUUAUGUCUAAGCCACAUCUAUUAUUUUGUUGUACUCCAAAUGCAUAGAUUUUGUGUUUAAAGCCUUAAGAAUAAAUAAAAGUUUCCUAGGCUUAAGUGGGAUUUGAAGUAUCUAGUAGCUGUAUUGAGUCUUCAUUCCAUUCCUUUUAUGUUUGGUUUAUUGGUUUUAUUAAAAAAAUCUUCAUACCCUGGGGGCACCUGACUGGCUCAGUCUGUGAGCGAGUGACUCUUGAUUUCAGGUUGUGAGUUCGAGCCCCACAUGAGGCAUAGAGCUUACUUUAAAAAAAAAAUUGUAAAAAUCUUCAUACCCUGUAUGCUAUCUCCUGUACCACACAGCCUACUUUGUUCUGCUCAGAUGGUUGCACAGCCUGUACUUUAUUCUUCUAGCACAAGGAAGCCUCGUGUCUCUCUUACUGUUGGGAAAAAAAGUUUAGCAUAAGAACAUUUUUAUCCAUACUGAAGCUUAUCUAGUAAACACUGCAAGAUACUUAAUUCUACUUAAUGUGAUGGAAAUCUUUCUAUUAUAAAAUUGUGUUAAACAUUUAUGAGUUUUAAUGCUCUCUGACACCUGUCCUAAUAUCAUAAUAGGCUAGCCUACCACACGCCUUGGCCCCCUGGAAAGCAGCUGAACCUUAGGAGUUGAGAUUACAGAUCACUUGUUGUGUUGUUUGUGGGGUAAAUUUCUUGAUGACUUUGAUUUUUUUUGUGUCUGAUUACUCCUUUCGGACACAACUCAAAUGACUUUAUUUACGUUUCAAGUCAGUUUCUAAGAAUUUAAAAAGGAAAAAAGAAUUUAAAAAGAAUGAUGUAUUAUUGGUUUAGCAUCUGACAGGAAUGUUCUUGAAAUGAUCUAUAAAUUGGGUUUUUGUUCAUUGAAUCAACAUUUUAUGUGCUCUAAGGGAACUUACUGUUUCAGAAAAUCUUGUGAGAAAUUUGUGAUGCUCCAGAAUGAUCAGUUUUGCAAAUCCACAUCUGCAGACCCUUAAUUUCAUCAACAGGUGUGGAUGUUUCAUUUAGCUGGACUGGUUAGAGUGUGUUUCCAGAACAUUAGACCUUCAUGUUCCUACUUAUUGUGAGCUUAUUUUUAAGAAACCAUUUUGAGUAUGUUCUAGUAUUUUGUCUUUCAGUCAGUCUUAGAGUUCAGUACUGGGGGAGGGGGGAGAGUUCAAAAAAUACAUUUUAAGAGAGUUUUUGCUCACUUCAUGGUUAUUUGGUAUGACGACUCAGAAACAGAAUAACGUUUUGAAUCGACCACAGGGGAAAUCCUUUCCCUGGCCCCUCAAGUCUACUUUCAGUCCAGUCAGAAGAUUCUUAAAUUCAUGUGGGGGAUUCCCACGUGCUCUAUUAUAAGUCUCCCUGAAAGUUUUCAUAGAUGUGUAGAAUGUCGGCUCGUAUCACAUACGUUUUAUGUCUCAGUGUGCGAGGGCCGUUCAGUGUACCGUUCCUUUGUUUUAAUAUUACUCAUUCUUUUUUCUAAGUGUGGAUGUGCAAGAGUGAGAAAGGCUGAGUGGUAUAAAAUGAAAUAUAAAAAAAAUGAAUUCACUUGUUCUCAGGUAGGCUAAAGAUCUAUUAAAUGUAAGAUCUUUGGGUGAAUACUAGCUCUUCUGUAGUGAGUAAAGAGAACUCGAGAACUUUGGAGACGGGAGCCCCCUUGCCUGCCUUCCACGGCACUAACUGUGUCCUCCCUGGCUAGCCGUGGUUGUCCUGUCCUUUGUACUCAGAGUAAGGCAUAUUUUUACUGCUUAGAUCUGGCAGAUGGGCUUCCCGCAGUUACUAUUCAGGUCAGUGUCUAAGGUCUUGAAGCGAUCUUCAAAAAAAUGAUAAACACUGAGCCCUUUUUGGGAGAAUAUACUGGAUGAAGAGCCAUGACAUAUUGUGAGAAAGUCAGCCAGAAAAAGUGUGUGUGGACCACCUGUGCCGUGCCCUGUACUUGCCUGAGCUUGUGUGAGGGGACCCCAUGGCUUGUGUAGGGACAGCAUUAUGUUUACCCUUCUGUCCGUUCAGUCACCCUGCCCCCCCCAGGAUCAUGUGUGACAACCCCCAGCAGUAGACAGGAGCCUGCCAUCAACCCUACCAUCUACUAACAAACUAUAGAAACGAUCCCUGAAAGUGUAGUCUUCAACCCUACCAUCUACAAGCACACUUGGGAGGUUUUCCUCCAUGAGAGGAAGACUCGCAUCUGUGUGCAGAAAGCAGCCCCUGGGCCUGGUCUGCCCUGUCCUGCAGCACCUGCACAGGCCUCAGCGGGUUUGUUCUCAGGGAGGGUGCUCCAGAGGGAGGAAAGGUUGGGGGAAGUGGGUGGGCGACAGAGACUGCCUUUCCCCUACGGCAUUGAAAAGUCCUCCCAGCCCUGUUCCAAAGCCAGCAAACGGUAAAAUAGAAUUCCUCCUGAAUUGUCAUGGUUCAUUCUCCACCUUUACAUCCCCAAAACUUACCUAACAUGUUUUCAUGGAAAACUAAAUUUUUACGUUCUUGUGCCAAGAAGACUCAGAUCUGGGAGGAUGCUUUAACAUUGUUAUCCAUCUUUAAUUUCCCCCUUUUACAUUUUACUUCUCCUCUAAAACCCCCUGUAUUUUUCCUCUAGUUGUAAAAUUUCAGGAAAUCUCCCAUUUAAGUCAGCUGCUGUUGGCCUGUCUGUGCUCUUUUUAGUGGCUUUGGUGGCGUUCAGGUUUAAGUGGCCCUGUGUGACAGGUGUGCGAGAUUGUGCUGCCCGGGCUGCCUCGUGGAUUCCCGUUCCACCCCGGUGCAGAGGGAGGCCGUCUUCAGAACCAGCGUGCCUCUCAGGCAUGGUUUCUUAAGCUGCACAGUCAUUACCUCUUUCAGUGAAUUUUUUUCAGCUUCAUCUCUCUCCUUAACACUAAGAUGCAGAAACGUCAGUCUUACUUAACGUCAAGUUAUCCAUCUGAUUUUAACUUGAUCCAAACUCAGAGCAUCUAAAAGUGGGUUGCACCGGAGGAUGUAACACCUUUGCCCGGAAGGUUGACUCCUGCCCUGGGCUGUUAGCAUUCAUUCAUUCAACAGACGUUUAGGACGUGCUCAUUUGGAGCCAGGCUCUGCGAUGAGGCGGGUGUACAGAAACAAAAAGCUCCAGUGCUGUCUUCAGUAAGCUUCCAGUCUAGUGAGAGGAAUGGAGUGCAGUGUGAUAACAGCACUGGGGAGGGUGUGCAGUCCAGACACGCAGGACAUCCUUCUGCAGAACCUGACAUGAGACACCCAGGUUUGGGAGGAUGGAUACGAGUAAACUGGGAGAAGAUGAGGGUUAUGAUACACUGGGAGAAGACAGAGAGCCAGGGGAAAUGUCAGACUCUGGUGGUGCUCCUGGGGGGAGGUUGCUGUGUAUUUAAAGGCCUACAAAGGCUAGAGACUAAGGAACAUGCUGGAAACUGCAGGACAUUAAGACCUGCUUGAGGUCAGGGUUUGUUAAAACUCCUCAGAUAGUUUAGUUAAGAACACGUGCCAACAUUGUAUUAAUAACAGUUUUGCAGUGCAAGGAAGAGGCCCCUGGUAGGUGGACUCAAAGAUUCACUCUUAGUAGGGGUGGGGGUCUGUUAUAGGAGGAAUGAUUGAAUCAUCAUUGGGAAGAAUAUCUGGUGAAAAAUCUUUAGACUCUAACUAGUCUAGUUGAUAAUUGAUAGCCAUCUAGGUGAAUGGCAAUGAGUUCGCCAGAACAAGCCUUAAUCUUGAAGUUCAUUUUAAAAUUGCCUUAGAGGGGCGCCUGGGUGGCGCAGUCGGUUAAGCGUCCGACUUCAGCCAGGUCACGAUCUCGCGGUCCGUGAGUUUGAGCCCCGCGUCAGGCUCUGGGCUGAUGGCUCGGAGCCUGGAGCCUGUUUCCGAUUCUGUGUCUCCCUCUCUCUCUGCCCCUCCCCCGUUCAUGCUCUGUCUCUCUCUGUCCCAAAAAUAAAUAAAAAGCAUUGAAAAAAAAAAAAAAUUUAAAAAAAAAAAAAAUAAAAUUGCCUUAGAAAAAAGGAUUUAUCUGGAAAGCUGUUGAUUUCUUCCCACUAGGAUGUUAUGCGUUAUAUAGUAAGCAACUUGGUUCUGUUCCAGAUCGGGUUUGGGGCAGUUUUUCUUUAAUAGGUUCAAGGUCACAGUGGAGUGCAGUCCAGUUUUCAGGGUGCUGCUGGUGAAGAGCUUUUUUAACCUACCUUGAGGAGAGUUUGGAUUUUUAUCCUGAGGGCAAUAGGGAGCCAUUGCCUGUGAGAGGAGUUUAAACCCCAGCCAUCAGCGUGGGUGUGGAUUAGCUGCAGCGUGAGGCAGGAGCAGCAGGAGAGAAGCUAGCAGAAGGCUUUAAUGUUCCCUCGAAAAACUGACGAGCUUUGAGUUCAGGCGUGUCUCCCCCUUGGCCUUCCACACCUCUCCGCCUGGAGCAGCUCUGAGACCGCCUCGUGUGGUAGUUGGGGAGUAGAAGUUAGUAGUUGGUUUUCCUCCAGAAGAGUUGGUUUUAACUUAUUCAGUUUAAAAAAAAAAAAAAUUUUUUUUAACGUUUGUUCAUUUUUGAGAGACAGAGUGGAACGGAGGAGGGGCAGAGAGAGAGGGAGACACAGAAUCUGAAGCGGGCUCCAGGCUCCGAACUGUCAGCACAGAGUCUGACGCGGGGCUCGAACCUCAAGAUCAUGACCGGAGCUGAAGUCGGAUGCUUAACCGACUGAACCACCCAGGUGCCCCUAACUUACUCAAUUUUAAAUGGUGACUGCUCUCGUCACAGUGAAAGAAAAUGUGAUACUGUGAAGAAGAUGCUGAGAAGGUUCUGGAAGCAGCAGCCAGGUUGAGGUAAGAGUUCAGAGAAAGGGGUCCAAGACCCUUGUGGACCUUGUGGCUCCGCCUCCAGGCCUGGGCCCCGUCGCCUGCCCUUCCCCCUCCAAGGAUUUGGUCCCAUCUCUGUCCUGAGACAGUUUCAGAACCUCGCUAUCAUCUGGCCUUGGCCUUGAGGCUGUUAGCGUAUUCCUACUACAGUUUGCUGUGAUUACAAAGGAUUCUGCCCUUCCUCAGAAGUCUGUAGGCAGAACCUCCUUCAGUGCGUCUGCUGUGGUUAAAAUAGAACCUUCAGAGAUGCCCUUGCCCCAGGCCGCAGAUCCGUUGGCACGGGGUGACCUGUGCUGUGUUUUCUUGUCACUAUUUCCUGAAGUUGUGGUGUCAUUCUGGGCAGAGGUGUAGACGCUUUGCAAGCAACAUCAGGGAACCUGACCUGGGGGUAGUUCUUCAGUGUUUUUGGUGGUGGUGGUGGUGGUGGCAGGUCACAUCCCUCUGCCUGUCCUCUCCUUUGUUGUGUCCGUGGCCUUACUGUUCCAGCGUCUUUUCUGGUCUCUUUCAUGACCACGUUUAAUCGUUUUCAUGUCAACAUAUUGCUGUGAAAAUAAUACUGCAUAAUUACUUGAUGUAGAUUGAAUGGGCAUAUUUGAGAAUCUACAAUUCUCUCCUAAAGUUGAUGUGAACAGGAACCUAUUCUUAGCUUUUAUUCCCAUUAGAAAUCUGUAUUCAAAAUACAUAAUUAUUCUCCUUUUGUUUUUUAAAUGUUAUCCAGAUUGCAAAAAUACCUGCCUCUAAGAACUCAAGAGGACUUACUCUGUGGGAACAAGAGGUAGUGAGUCAUACCUGCAAGCCCGGAAAUGAGUUUAUUUGAGCCUCUUUGAGGAGGUUUCCUAGGCAAGCAUGGAUGCAGUAAUUAAAGGAUGAGGAACUAGGGGGUGCGUACUUGGAGGUUUAAUCCUCAGGUGAUGUGCUCCUCGUCAGAUUGAGACCUCAGUUUUUGUUUUGUUCAUUAAAAAUAAUAAAAAAGCUUACUGCUUAAUUACAGAAAAACACACUAUUAUUAGGGUGUGGGUGUGGGGGUGUGUGGGUGUGGUGCUUUAACCUUACCUUUUAAACACUUUCUCUGAUGAGAAUGUUCAUAUGUGUUAAUGCUGGCUUAUUUGGGAAAGUAGGAGAGAAGUUACUGCUUCAAGUGAUUUCAGUUAGCCGUGAAGUUAUUUGGAAAAGCAGAUGAUGUUUUCGUGUGCCUGUAUUUGAGUUGGUUACCAUCAGAACUUGCAGCAUGUGGAGAAGAGAAGCUUGCUAAUCAUUUGUUUCUUCUUUGUUCAUGCUUGUAUUUGUAUGUGUCUGAUGCUGGAGUUGCAUCAGUCCACCUUGGGUUGUGCUGGCACAUUCCGCCCUGGGACGUGAGGGCGAGAGUGGAAGGGCCAUCCGUGAAUUGGAUUGGGACUCUUCCAGCACGUAGACAUAGCCCUGGCUUGCUAGAGAUUUCCCUCUAACUCUUCACUCUCAUCCUUUUUGUGUGGCUUUCUUCUUAGAUGGCCAUGAGGAUAAGAUAAACAUUUCUCUUCCACUGUGAAACCCUAAUGCUCCCAGACUUUACUUAACAUGGACUUUCAUUGAAUUCCAUUUUAACAAAUACGGUGGCUUUUUGCAUGGACCAGUGAAAGAGGAAAAGUCCUGCUAUGUGACAGACUCAUUUUCAGUAGUGUUAGAAAUAAUCUGAAAAGCACCAGAAUAUUUAAAUAUUAGCAGUGCUCAGUUUAAGUAGGGUUAUGUUAUGAUCCUAGAUCAGGUAUUUUCUAGAAAUGUUGACAAGAUGAAAUGUAGAAGAUGGCCCUUUUCUGCUGGGCACUGAGAAGAGCCACUUCUCUGAGUACCCGUGGGCUUUAUGAACAUCUUGAGCUUUUUGUCACAAUAAUGUGUAUUUUCUUUUGGAUGCAGUGGAUACCCUUCUAUCAGCAAAAGCUCUGAGACACCGCUCUUGCACACAUGUGACAGAUGAAGUAGGUGAACUUUGUCGCUACGGCUUUUUCCUCUCCCGUAGUUCCUGGAUCUGUGGAAGAAGUUAGGAGUAGCAAAUCCUGGGGCGCCUGGGUGGCUCAGUCGGUUGAGCGUCUGACUUCGGCUCAGGUCAUGAUCUCACGGUUUGUGGGUUCGAGCCCCACAUCAGGCUCUGUGCUGACAGCUCGGAGCCUGGAGCCUGCUUCAGAUUCUAUCUUCCUCUCUCUCUGCCCCUCCUCCACUUGAGCUCUGUCUCUCUCUCAAAAAUAAACAAAAACAAAAACAAAACAAAAACCAGGGUGCCUGGCUGGCCUGGAGCCUGCUUCGGAUUCUGUGUAUCCUUCUCUCUCUGCCCUUCCCCUGCUUGCACUCUGUGUCUCUCUCAAAAAUAAAUAAAACAUUUAAAAACAUUAAAAAACAAACAAACAUGGAAUAGCAAAUCCUGGUCUGGAGUCAAGGCUUUGGCCCCCCACCCCCACAACAUAAGGGAAAAAUUUCUAAUUCUUAGAGUCAAAAUGUAUGUAAGUGUACUUAAUUCUUAAGAAAUCCACCAACUUCUGGGGCACCAGGGUGGCUCAGUCAGUAGAGUGUCUGACUUCAUCUCAGGUCAUAAUCUCACAUUUGUGAGUUUGAGCCCCGCAUGGGGCUCUCUGCUGUCAGUGCGGAGCCUGCUUCGGACCCUCUGUCCCCCUCUCUCUCUGCCCCUCCCUGGCUCAUGCUCUCUCUCUCUCUCUCAAAAAUAAACACUGAAUAAAAGAAGUCCACUGACUUUUUAGUGGUAUUGAUAAUAGAGUUCUACCCUUAAUUUUAACUUGUUUCCUUUACCUAUUUGAAAUGUCAGGCUGUAGUUUAUGACCUGCCUUAACUUAUUUUUAAACAAGGCAGGUUAUAAAGAAGGUAAUCCUUCAAUUUGUUAUUUUUAAUAUCUACAUUUUCACAUUUUUUGUGAGAUAGAAAUUGACCUAUUGAUCGAUUCAUGCAUUCAUCUGCUGAAUGUCUCUGAUUUGCCAGUCACCGUACUAGGCAUUGGGGAUAGAGAUUAAGACUUGGUCUCUAUUUUAAAGGUGCUGGGGGCACCUGGGUUGCUCAGUGGAUUGAGCAUCAGACUCUUGGUUUUGGCUCAGGUGAUGAUCUUACGUUCAUGGGUUCCAGCCCCACAUCAAGCCCGUGUUGAGCCCGGCUUGACAGCAUGGGACCUGCUUGGGAUUCUCUCUCCCUCUCUGCCUCUGCCCAUCCCACGUUCUCUCUCGCCAUCUCUCUGUCUGUCUCUGUCUCUCUCUCAAAAUAAAUAAACUUAACGGUGCUAAUAAGUCCACAAAUAGAGACAUACAAAUAAAUAUUCUUAUGAGAAUAGAAAACACUUCUGUAGUAUUUACUAUAUGUAGGUACUGUUGUAAGUGCUUUCUAGGCAUUAGCUUUAACUCAUGAAUUGAUACAAAAUCCUUUUGAAGUUCUUAACUAUUAUUUUCUCUGUUUUACACAUGAAAAAGUUCAGAGGUUAGGUACUUGUCCCAAGGUCAUAAAGCUUGUUUUGUUUGACAGUCAGAUGUAUUGAGUGCGAUAACAGACCUGCUCAUGGAGUGCCCUGGAAGGACAGGGUAGUGUCUAGUUGGGAAAAUGGGGACUAGAAGUGUGAGUAUCCAUGAAAUUUUCCCAAAGGAAGCAGUACCUGAACAAAUGUAUUCAGAGGAGUGGAAGAGCCACGAAAUACUUCUUUAGGAACAUAAAAUACUACCUCAUAAAUGAGUUCGUAGGUUGAAUCCGUGACAGAAUAUUGGAAGACUGGGAGGGGCGCCUGGGUGGCUCAGUCUGUUAAGUGUCCGACUUCGGCUCGGGUCAUGAUCUCACGGCUCAUGGGUUUGAGCCCCCUAUUGGGCUCUGUGGUGACAGCUCAGAGCCUGGAGCCUGCUUCAUAUUCUGUGUCUCCUCCUCUUCUCCGCCUCUCUCCCCUAUUCACCCUUUGUCUCUCUCUGUCUCUCAAAAAUAAACAUUAAAAAAAAGAAAGAAUAUCGGAAGACAGGGGGAUAGUAAAAAUAUACCAGAUCCCUGCAGUCUUCAAUGUAAAUGACAAGGAAAUAGAUUUCAAUGUUGAGGCAAACCUUUGUUUCCAGUUAGUGUAAGGUAUGGUAAAAACUUGGCAUUUAAAAAAAAAACCUAAUGAAAGUAUUAAUUUCCUUAUACUCUGUCAGCAUGUGGGUAAAUGUGUGACCCCUUCGAACGUUCUAAGAUGAAUUUCCCAACACUGGAUAUUUUAUCUUAGGAAACCUCUGGUAACCUGUAGAAAUAGUCUACUGGUAUAUAUUUUGAAUAAAUGCAGAGAAAGAUUGAUUUCUUUCAGAAUAAAAGUUGGCAGGAACUGCCAAGUUAGGUAGGUUAAUUUUAUCAUUGCACAGUUACAAAGCUGUUCAGAAGGUGGGGUUGGCGGGCCCCAUGCUUGGCUCGGCAGCACUGGGUUGUCGCUUUUUUACCUUUCUGUAACCACUCCUGGCUUUUUUGAGCAUCAAGCCAUGUGGAUAAUCGUCCUUUGUCCCCUUGUAACCACUGCAGUAUGCUGACUUUGUCAUGACUCCCACUCCUCGCUCGAGACUGCCUCACUGUUUUCCACCUUGCCUCGGCUUCAUUGGAUGACCCACCUAUUUUCCUUGGCUGCAUGGGUCUUGUUUUGGAGCUUCUCAUCGCCAGCGAUCUCCCCAACUUCUCCCCAGCUUCCUCCAUCUCCCCACUCUCUAGGCCUUGUCUACUCGGGGCUCAGACCGUUAGUCAGAGAUGUCCUUUUGGACCACACCCUCCUGUCCGUCCACCUUGGACCCUACCUCUCGUUUGAUCCUACUGAGACCUCUAGUUUGCAGACACUUUUGCUCUGUACCUUUCCAUCUUUAUUUUCUUCCUGAUUCAACUUAGAAACCAUAGUCCAUGUAUUAAAUCACGGUCUUGCCCAAACCCUAUACUCCUGACCAUUUUGUCCUUUGGCUUGCACAUGGGCUCCUGAGUAGUGCCAGAGAAAGCCAUAUAGCUGGGCAGAUUGGCACCUGGUCGCAUAAAUUCAGGUGGUGGCUCAGCACCGUGUGGCCGUUGCUUCUUGUUCUUCGGGGCAGCUGUCUGCCACUCUGAUUCUUCAUGGUGACUAUUCCUAAGCUCUCUUCCAACUUCUGACUGCUCCUCCUCCCCACUUACUCUGCUCAGAUGAUGCACUCCUGCAGUAGGACUGUCAGUCCUACCUGCCCCUGAGCCUCCUCCUUUCCCCUUGGUGUCCGUGAGCUGACAGCCUCUUGCUUUUUCUUCUGCUUUUCAUACUGUCUGAGUCAUCUUUGUGGUUUCAUCUCUUGUCAAACUGGCUUCUGUCAAAAGGCAACUACAAGAUGUCUGUUUCCUUUUUCAAGUACAGUAAAACAUUUUCACACUGCUGUCCUUUGCCUUCUGCUGGAGAAAGCUGGGAUUUACUGUAGGGGGGCAGGCCCCUAGUGCACUCAUGCUGUGUACCUGUGUGUGUGCGUGCUUGUGUGGCCAUGGGGCUCGGCUCUGUGAUCUGGCUACCGUGUGCUGAGCCGUGUUCAGUAGCCAUCUCCCUUGGCUGCUGAAUGAUUCUGCCCUCUGCAGAAAUAGUCCCCCAGGGUUUAUCCUGCAUGCACGUGGGGGAGAGUGUGAUUGACAUCUUUCAGGUUAGAAAUAGGCAGGAGUUUCCCAGAUAGAUGGGUUUUGCUACUAUUACAGUGUGCUACAUGUGUCAUCUUCGGUGGCUCCCCGGUGCCUUUGCAGAUUAUCGAGGUGCAGUGAGGCGAGCGUUUUGGCUCCUGCUUCUGCCGAGUGGACUCCAGACCUUUUUUUUUUUUUAAUGUUUAUGUAUUUUUUGAGAGAGACAGAGGUAGAGUGCAAGCGGGGUAGGGGCAGAGAGAGAGGGAGACACAGAAUCCGAAGCAGGCUCCAGUCUCUGAGCUAUCAGCACAGAGCCCGACACAGGGCUCGAACCCACAAACCGUGAGAUCACGUCCUGAGCCGAAGUCUAGUGCUUAACCAGCUGAGCCACCCAGGCACCCCCCCAGACCUUCUUCUUUACACUUCUUUGUACUCAUUCUCUGACCUGCUCUGGAGGGCUGCUGCCCACUCCCCUGUUGCUCCUUCUAAUUGCUGCCUCUGCAUGGUGCCUUACUCCCUCAUUCCACGCCCCCUUCCCUUGUUUUGUAUCAUUUCUUCGUAAAGAUAGGAACAUUUAGUAGACACUGAUCAUCGGUUAAUUCACUAUUUAGUUCCAGAGCUGGUCCCUUGGGGAGGCUGUAAGCACUAGGACAAUGACAGAGCUGCCUUUCUGGUGAUCAUAGGAGAGAAACAUUGAGAUGUGUCAUUCCAGUGUAUUGUGACGAAGACUGUUAAAGUGUAGGCUGAGCAUUUCAUUUACAUCGCUUCAUAUAAUCUUUAAAAAAAUCCUGUGAAGUUGCUCUUUUUUUUUUUUUUUUUUGCCUUUAUUUUAUGGAGCUGAAAACUGAGGUUCUGAGAGGUGACAUCAUUUGGUCAAGGUCACUUAAACAGCAAGUUACCCAGUGGGAAAGACAGCCCAACAUUUGAGCUGCAAAAGCUCAUGCUCUUCACUGUGAAUACAGUUUUCCUCCUCUGCCACAUUGCCUCUGUUGGAGGGCUGACCCUGAACAGUAGAAUUCAAGGUCUAAUAAUAGACUCUCAACACAUUGAAUAUUAGGCAUGGGGAGAACUCUAACUAGCUAGAAACCAUUAGUUGUAGUGUUUUUAUUCUUCUGUUGUUUCAGUGGCAUUGCCUGAAAUUAUAUUACCUUAUUUAGUUUAUUAUAUUACCUUAUUUAGUGCAUUUGUUAUCACUAGGAUUCUGAUGCAUAACAUAUUCUUUUUUUAAAAUUUUUUUUUUUCAACGUUUAUUUAUUUUUGGGACAGAGAGAGACAGAACAUGAACGGGGGAGGGGCAGAGAGAGAGGGAGACACAGAAUCGGAAACAGGCUCCAGGCUCUGAGCCAUCAUCAGCCCAGAGCCCGACGCGGGGCUCGAACUCACGGACCGCGAGAUCGUGACCUGGCUGAAGUCGGACGCUUAACCGACUGCGCCACCCAGCCGCCCCGAUGCAUAACAUAUUCUUACAAGAAUAUCUUACAUGCCUCCCUGUUGACUUCCUUUUUUUUUUAAUUUUUUUUAACGUUUAUUUUUGAGAGAGAGAGAGAGAGAGAGAGAGAGACAAAGCACGAGUGGGGCAAGGGUGGGGGAGGGGGAGAGAGAGAGAGAGAGACAGAGAAUCUGAAGCAGGCUACAGGCUCUUAGCUGUCAGCACAGAGCCUGAUGCGGGACUCGAACUCACGAACAGCAAGAUCAUGAUCUGAGCCGAAGUUGGAUGCUUAACCCACUGAGCCCCCCAGGCGCCCCUCUGAUACCUUCUUAAGAGCCAGAUUCAAACUUCUACUUCACUAUAGGUUUGAAAUUUUAAGUACUUUACAGCCAAAAGAGAAAAAAAAUAGGGUUAUGUGUCACAGAGGGUAUAAAGGAACUACUUUCUGGAUCACUGAAGAUAACAGUGUUACUGCUAAUGGUACAGUUUCAUCUCUUGCAGUUAGCCCGAGACCAGCACCUGUGUUCACCCUUCCUGGGAGCCUAAACUGCUCACAUCCUGGGCUGGGCCUGGGGUGCUGACAUGAACCAGGCCUCGGUUCUUUCUAAGGGACUAGCUUCAGUUUCCUAUGUUCUGAUCAAUAUAGUUCCCACCCUCUCUCCCAUUUUGACUUCUUUUGCUUUUAUUGCUUCACUCCAGACAGCCGGUUCACAGAUUAUUCUAAGAAAUGGUUCUGUGAGAACUACUUAGUGAAUUUAUUCAGUGGUUUAUUCAGCAUCGCUGCCCACUAGGCACUGCUCUGAGUGCUGGACAUGGGAUAGAACAGGGCACCAAACAGCACCUCUGCCCACUUUUUUUUUUUUCACUUUUAAACUGGAGUUGGUGAGUGAAUUAUGCACCACUGUUAGCAUCUUGCCAGCAGAAUCUGUGACUAUAUAUUUGCCAUUACCAGUGAGGAUUACACUACCUUUUUGUGUUGUUUUUUUUUGUUGGUAUUAAUUAGCAUUCUUUUCCUUUCACUCAAAGCAUUGCCUUUAGCAUUUCUUGGAAGGCAGGUCUGGUGGUAAUGAACUCCUUCAGCUUUUGUUCGUUCUGGAAAGUGUUCCUCCAUUUCUGAAGGACAGCUUUGCCAGGUACAGAAUUCUUGGUUGAUAGUUAUUUUCUUUCAGUAUUUUUAAUAUACUAUACUCUUCUGGCCUGAAAAGUUUCUGUUCAGAGAUUCACUGAUAGUCUUAUGGGAGUUCCUUUUUUAUUUUUUAAAGUAGACUUCAUGUCCCAUGCAGAACCCAACUCAGGGCUUGAACUCACAACCCUGAGAUGAAGACCUGAGCUGAGACCAAGAGUUGGACACUUAACCAACUGAGCCACCCAGGAGCCCCUUUGGGGGUUCCCUUGUAUGUACCUUCUCUCUUUCCUCUUGCUGCUCUUAAAAUCCUUUCCUUGUCUUCCCAUAGGCUUUCUUCAGUCUUCUUUAUGUUUUUUCUUUUUGUUCCUCUGACUGCAUAAUUUCCAGUGCCCUAUCCUCCAGGUUACGGAUUCUUCUUUCUGUGUGGUUGAGUCUACUUUCAAAACUGAAUUCUUUUGUUCAGUUAUGUGUUUUUCUUUUUUUUUUAAUGUUCAUUUAUUAUUUAUUUUGAGAGAAAGAAAGAGUGAGCAAGGGAGGGGCAGAGAGAGAGGGAGACAGAGAACCCCAAGCAGGCUCCACACUGUCAGUGAGGAGCCUGACGUGGGGCUCGAACUCAUGAACUGUGAGAUCAUGACCUGAGCGGAAACCAAGAGUUGGAAGCCCAACUGACUGAGCCACCCAGGCACCCCCAGUUAGGUAUUUUUUAACUCUAGGUUUUGGGUUUUUUAUUUUAUUUUUUUGGUGGUUGCUAUUUUCUUCUUUUUUGUUAUUAUUAUUAUUUUUAAUGUUCAUGUAUUUUUUGAGAGAGAGAUAGAGUGGCAAGUGGGGUAGGGGCAGAGAGAGAGGGAGACACAGAAUCUGAAGCAGGCUCCAGGCUCCGAGCUGUCAGCACAGAGCCCGACACGGGGCUCGAACCCACGAACCGUGAGAUCAUGACCUGUGCCGAAGCCGGAUGCUCAACUGACUGAGCCACCCAGGCGCUCCCCCGAUAGUUGCUAUUUUAUCAAAAUUCUCAUUUUGUUCAUGUGGUGUUUUCCUAAUUUUGUGUAGCUGUCUGUAUUUUCUUGAAGUUCACUAAACUUCAAGACAGUUACUCUGAAUUCUUUGGCUAACAGUUCAUAGAUCUCUGUUUCUUUAGGGUAAGUAAUGGGAGCUUAUUAUUUAUCUUUCAUGGUGUCAUAUUUACCUGAUUUUUCAUGAUCAUCGAUUCCUUGUGUUGAUAUCAGCAUAUUUAAAUAAUGGGGCUCCUCUUCCAGACUUUUCAGAUUUGCUUUGGCAGAGAGAAUUCUUCACCAGUCACCUCAAUUUGAGUUACUGGGUGUGUCUGCUGGUAAUACCUCGGGGCAGGUGGGACCUGCUCUUAUGGUAUGUUUUGGGGGGAGGCAGCUGUUUGAGCUCUGAGAAUGUGGGUCGGGGGUGUCUGUCACUGGCUGAGAACAGUUGGGUGGGACUGCUGGCUUAGUUCCCGUGCAAGAGAAGCCGUAGGACGGUUUCUUUUACUGCCUGGAUUCUCUGGUCACAAAUGGUCAGAAUUGGGUACUGUAUUGAGUCUUAGAUGGGUCUGUGAACUAGCUUCCCUGCCCUGGCAGGGCAGCAGGAAGGGCCCCAGGGCCCGUAUACCUCAUUGCCUGGAGACCUAAAUCAGCCCAGAGUGUGCCUGAAUUCGCUGCCUAGGUGAGGCCACCUGUCUUGCUCUACCAACAGGAGAAGCCAUGGGCUUUGCUCUCUGUUCAGGUGGUGUUGUAUGUAGAGCUGUUGAAUGGGCUUUGAAGCUUCCCAGGUGCUCCCGUUAGGUUCCCUGGUGGGACGGCCUGAGGGCUGUAUUCAGCCAUGAGCAGGGCUGUGAAUUCCCUGCCUGGGCACAGUGGGAGAAGUAAAUGUAAAACCAGUCAGGCUCUGUUUGUUGUCUUCACUGGAGCUGAUCUGUACCCCAAGUUCCCUGGCCGAAUAGGGUCUCUGACUUUGCUCUGCAAACUGUUGACUCCGAGUGCUCUUCUCUUGGCCUGAGCUGUGCUGGGCUGUACAGCUUCCAGGAGUUAUCACCAGCCCUUCUGGUCAGAUGGGGCCAGAAGACCGUCUUCACAGUGUGGGAAGCUAUGCCCCAGCCCCCUUGCCUGGGCAGGAGCGGGAAGGUCCACUCUAGACUAAUUCAGUUUCCCCAGACAGGCGCUCUGGUUGGGAGGGGCCACAAGCUACAUUCAGCCUUGGCUCUGAAUUAAUCCCCCUGCCCUCAUACCUGGUACUGGCUUUGCUCUGGGGGUGAGCCUCUCAGAACCUCUGCCUCUCAGCCAGAGUGUUGCUGGGCUACACAGCUUCCAGGAGUUGUCCCCAGCACUCUGGUCACAACUCUGGUCCAGGGGCUGGAAGACCCUUUCCACAGGUCCCUGGGUGUGAGCAAACUGGGCUCUUGGGGUGGAAAGAUUCCUCAUCUGGGGAUCCGAGUCAGGCAGAUCUGCACCCUGCCAAGUUCCCCAGUCAGGGUGCGCCCCCAACUUGGUUUUGCGGAUGAGCAAAGCCACUGGUUGGGAUUACUCUUAGGACCCUGCAGGUAUGAACUUCCAUCUGUCAAGAUCCUUGUGCUGGUUGUUGGAAGCCCCUCCCCUAGCCUCCAUCACAGUCGGAGUCCCGGUGUUUGAGCCCCUCAGAUUCCCCUGCGAUCCCCGUGGUGGGAGAUCACGGUAGGGGGCUCCUAAAAGUGACCCACAGGGCCGGGCGUGCUGUUUGUCCCUCCUGGGUUCUCUUUUCCCACUGGAGGAACUGGUGGCCCAUAGGAGACCUCUCUGUGGGCUGCACUGGCCCGGGGGCGGGGCAGCGUGGUCAACAUGUGGCUGCUUCUCUUCUCCUUCUGAUGCAGUCUGGCUUGGUCUCCGAGGUGCAGGGGGCACUUCAGCCUCACCCCUGUGUUCCGGGAUUCUCUCAGUGGUGUCUUGUUCUUGAACAGAUGUUAGUUGUUGUCAUGGGGUGUGAAGUCAGGAACAACCUAUGUCUCCAUCUUGCUGGCAUCACUCAGCUCUCUGCCCGCUUUGAACUUUUGUUCUGGUGUGGGAGGCACCCGGUAAGGCAGUAAACAUGGGAUGUGUUGUCAGAUGAUGAUAAAUGCCGUGAGGAAGGUAAAGCUGAAUAAAGGGGUAGGGAGCGAUGGGGUGAGGGUAUGUUGCUGUUUAGCUAAGUCAUCAGGUCUUACGGGGGAGGUCAUAUUUAACCAGAGACCUGAGUGUCUUGCUCAGUUUGGGCUGCUGUGACAAUAGCAUCAACUGGGUGGCCUAACAAUAGAGUUUUAUGUCUCACAGUUUUGGAUACUGGAAAUCUGAGACCAGGGAGCCAGCAGGGUAGGCUUCUUGGUGAGAACGCCCUUCCCCGUUUCAGACAACUGCCUUCUUUUUUUUUUUUUUUUUUCAACGUUUUUAUUUAUUUUUUGGGACAGAGAGAGACAGAGCAUGAACGGGGGUGGGGCAGAGAGAGAGGGAGACACAGAAUCGGAAACAGGCUCCAGGCUCCGAGCCAUCAGCCCAGAGCCUGACGCGGGGCUCGAACUCACAGACCGCGAGAUCAUGACCUGGCUGAAGUCGGACGCUUAACCGACUGUGCCACCCAGGCGCCCCAACUGCCUUCUUGCUACGUCCUCACAUGGCAGGGGGUGGGGUGGGGGGGAGCGGGGAGAGAUCAUUUCUCGUGUGUCUUCUCUUGCAAGGGCACUAAUUCUCUACCCUCGUGACCAAAUCACUCCCAAAAGGGCCCAUUUACAAAUACUGUCACAUUGGGAAUUAGGGUUUCAACACAGAAGUCCUGGGGGAACACGAACGUUCAGUCUGUAGCACUGAAUGAAGUAAGGAAGGGCCUUCCAGGCACCGGGAACUGCACUUUCGGAGACCUAACGUGAGCCAUGUCAGAGGAACAGCUCUGUUGGCUGCAGGGUUGAUGCUGGAGCAGAGCAGGCAGCGAAGGAAAGAGCGUUCAGAAAUGAAGUGGGAGAGGUACCACCGAAGGCCUACGUGGUUGGCCACUUUGGAUUUGAUUCCCAGUGGCACGGGGGAGCCUGUCUCCAGAGGGAAAGAUGUGCUAGGACUUUUCAUUCCUAAAAGGUCACUUUGGAUGCCGUGGGGCUGGGGUUGGGGGCUAGGAGUGGAUGUGUGCCAUGGUCUAGGUGAGAGGUGAUGGCUGAGAAGACUGGGUUGGUAGCGGUGGGGGUUGUAAGAGGUGGUUGGAUUGGGGACACUGAAGGUAGAGCUGGUACCUUUUGCUGAGAGAUCAGUUGUGGGGUGUGACCUAACCCCAAUGUUACAGGGUUACGAGGUGGGCCUUUGGGUGAUUCGGCUUCUAUCUGAGGGUCAUAAGGGUGGGGUCCUCGUGAUGGGAUUGGUGUCCAUGUAAGAAGAGGAGUGACCAGAGCUCUCUCCCCUCGUGCCCCGUGAGGACACAGUGAGAAGGCGGCCACCCGCACAAGAAGAGAGCGCUCACCAGAGCCCAACACUGCUGGCACCCUGAUCUUGGACUCCAUGCCUCCAGAACUGUGAGAAAUAAGUUCAUGUUGUUUAAGCUAGCCAGGCUGCGGUCUUCCGUUACAGCAGCCCAAGAUGAAACACCUUCCCUUCCGAUUUAUUUCUUUCGUGAGCUAUGCAUGCCAGGUGUACAAAACUAAAUAAUUAAAUUCAAACACUACAGCGGUGUGUAAGGUUUAAGUAAAAGUUUACUUUCCUCCCUCCAGAAGUAACCCCUUUGAGGUAUCCAUUUGAAAGCUUGGGUUUUAUUCUACUAGACCCGUGCUUUCUUUUUAAAAAAAAUUUUUUUUUACGUUUAUUUUUUCAUUUUGAGAGAGAGACAACAGCAGAGGGGCAGAGAGGGAGAGGAAGAGAGAGAAGCCCAAGCAGGCUCCGCGCUGUCGGCACAGAGCCUGACAUGGGGCUCAGACUCACAAACUGUGAGGUCAUGACGUGAGCCGAAACCAAGAGUUGGACGCUUAACCAGCUGAGCCACCCAGGCGCCCCUAGACCUGUGCCGUCUAAUGAGGCAGCCAUUUGCCACUUGUGGCUAUUCAAAUUUACUUAAUUACAAUUAAGUACAACUAAACAUUCAAUUCCUCAGUCACACAUACUGGCUAUGUUUCGGGUGUUCAGGAGCCAUGACUAGCUGCAACCGUGUUGGACAGAAUAAACAGCAUUUCCAUCAUCACAGAAUGUGCUAUCGAAUGGCACUGUUUUCGAUGAAUUCUAUUCAUAUACAAAUGUGUGUGUGUGUUAUAUAUACGUGCAUGCACACACACAUACACAUAUCUGUGCAGUUGGCAUAAUAUUGUACAUACUCUUCUGCAAUUUGUUUUUUCCACCUAACAGAGAAACUGUUAAUUUGGUGUGAUCCACACACAGCAUCAUGCCAGGAAAAUUUUAAAACAGGGUGCAUAAUCAAACAUAGAGUUUUAGUGCAUUAAAAAUCUUUUAAUUUCAGAUUUUAGAGGUAAUCGCAACACAUCCUAAUGCUUGUUCCAAUUUUAACUAAACAAAUUAAUUUUGGAAAUCGUCCACUCAGCCUUGGGUAUGUAAAGAAAGAAGGUUCAGGAGCUGUAGUUUGAGCUUAAUCUACCGUGUAGAUUGACAUACACACCUGCGUGCACAUGCACACAGACACACACACACUUCCUGUUAUUUCUGUUUUGUAACAGGGAUUGUAACCUUCUCCUGUUUAGUAUGCUCACUAUUCAGUAGACCAGCACUGUCCAAAAUGGUAGCCACUAGGCACAUGUGGUUAUUUAAAUUGAAAUUAAACAUUUAGUUCCUCAGUUGUACUAGCCACAUUUCACAUGUCCAUUAACCACGUGUGGCUGGUGGAUAGCAUGGAUCUGGAAUGUUGUCAUUUCACGGAAGGUUCUGUUGGGCAGCUCUGUACUAGAAACUUUCUUCAAGGGGUGCCUGGGUGGCUCAGUCAGUUAAGCGUCCGACUUCACCUCAGGUCAUGAUCUCGCGGUCCGUGAGUUCGAGCCCCGCGUCGGGCUCUGUGCUGACAGCUCAGAGCCUGGAGCCUGUUUCAGAUUCUGUGUCUCCCUCUCUCUGACCCUCCCCUGUUCAUGCUCUGUCUCUCACUGUCUCAAAAAUAAAUAAAAAGGUUAAAAAAAAUUAAAAAAAAAAAAAGAAACUUUCUUCAAGUCCAUUUCUCAUUUAAAUGCAGUGAUUUUUCCACAGGUAGAGGGUGGGGGACUCUGUCCAGGAGGAUGUCUGAGAAUCUGUGGGAGUGACUGGAGAGCUCGCACUUCCAUGCCCUUCCCGGUCAAGAUUCUCAUCCUCCCCUUUGAAGACGCAUGUCCUCCUACUAUCUUUGAGAAUUAGUGUUCCAUAGUAAGUUAAUUGUGGGAAAGAAUAUUGGUACUGAUAGCAUUGCAAGGUUAGAAUAUUAUUUUGAUAAUUGGCAACGCGUAUACGCUAUUAAACUGCAUCUAUACAUACAGUAGGUGUCACUGCUCAACUUGCAAUAGAAAGUGUUUAGUAACAAACUGUUUAGUUACUGUGGGUGCUGACAACGUAUUAUGUUUAAACUUUUUAAAUUGAGAAAAGAAUAGACUAUUGGAAAUGCACCUUUUUGUGGAAAAUAGAUGUAUUUAUGUUGACAUUUAUGUUAGGAAAUAUGUAAUCUGGACAGAUUCAUAGGGAACAGGAAGAAUAGUUCCCUGUGGGAAUGGAGAUGGUGUAAGAGGGAGACAGGUAUGAUAGAAUGACUUUUUUGCUCUCUGCCCUUUGUUUAUGUACCUUGUGACUAUGUGCUUAUGUUAAUACAAAAAUUAAUAAAUAAAAUGAAGAAAAAAACCAAAAUACAUCCUUAAAAUGUGCAGGAUACAGAAUAGAUGGUUUAGGAGGUAAGGGUCACUUAGGACAGAAGGAAUUACAUAGAUUUAUAGGAGCAGAGGGCUGGUCUGAAGUUUCACGUGACCAUCAGAUGAAACCUCGUGAGGCCUCCUGGCAUGCCAGGACCUGGGCUAGGCAGACCAUUUCUCACAGGCUGGUUAUUUUGCAGUAAUUAAAGCUGUUUGCAACUGUUUUAUUACAUGUAACUUAAUACAUUUUAGGAGAAAAAAAUACUCAUAGUACUGAACUAUUUUUUUUCCACGCGACCUUUCUUAACUCUCAUGGAACACGGCUUAGGAAAUGCUGAUUUAAACUCGUGGAAAUAAUUAUCCCAGAAAGAUGAGGUUGAAAAGAAGUUGUUCCAGGUCUGGGGCACCCUGCUUCAUUUACAGUCUUUCAGGAAGAUGAAUACUGGUGUUAAUUGAGUUUAAUUUGAAUAGGGACAUACCACAGAUUAUUCGGCACACGGCGCCCACGUAAAAGUCACACACACACUGAACAUGGACUUGGUCAUUGACACUGCCCGGUGUCCUCCCCCAUCCUUUGCUUACAGCCACUGUCAGGGACCAAGAGGUGGGACAGUCCAACAAUGUGGGGCGUGGGCACAAGGGACAAACCUCCUUUCCUCCACCAUCACGUCUCCAUAUUUCAGCUUCCAGGCGACUGUGACAUCAAAAAUGGAGUGCCCAGAUAGUCAAAACCAAGUGUUAGGUUUUGAAAACAGAAUCCUGUAGUUCAGCAGAAUUGAUCUUCUUCUAUGAAAGCAAGUGGCUGGGAUUUGUGCUUUUUCAGGAAAGCAAACUAAGGGAAAACUAGUUAAGGAAAAAUCAUGCCCUAAACUACAAGCGUUACAAAGGAAAUCUUGUUGGGGGCACCUGGGUGGCUCAGUCGGUUGAGCGUCUGACUUCCGCUCGGGUCAUGGUCUCACAGUCUGUGAGUUCGAGCCCCGCGUCUGGCUCUGUACUGACAGCUCGGAUCCUGGAGCUUGCUUCAGAUUCUGUGUCUCCUUCUCUCUCUCCCCUCCCCCGCUCAUGCUCUGUCUCUCUGUCAAAAAUAAAUAAACAUUAAAAAAAAUUAAAAACAAAAAAAAAAACCCAAAAAACCAAAGGAAAUCUUGUUUGUGGUGGGAGUUCGAGGCAAUGACUUCCCAAAGGCAAGGAUAAUUUUCAAAAUACUGAAUGACCGGCACAGCACAGGAGUUCACACAUUCAGAAUAGAUGCCAGCCUUGCACAACUGGUGUGGCCGUACCAGCGUGUACAGGCUGAGUGUCAUUCCUGCCGGACAACAAAGCCAUUCAAGACGAGAAAUGAGCCAUUACUGGGUUUUGCGGCCAAGCCUGCGGGUUGUCCCCUCAGUGUCCAUAACACCCAUCUUUAUAGAGUCACUAGUUGAUAUUGGGGUGCUUGGCUGCUUUAUGGCCAUAUGACUAAAUUCUGGUCAGUGGGAGGCAUAUUAUCAUGUGGUCUUUUCUAGAACCUUCCUUAAGGGACAGUAUGUGUUCCCCCCUCUGCCCUCUCUUUAUUUAUGCCUUUCCCAUUCCGCUUCCUAGAAUGUGGAUGCCGCCAUCUUGAGCCACGGAGUUGACGUCACUGUGGUGGAGCAGUAAAAUAAGUAGAGGGCCACACUCGCCUGAGAAAGAAAGAAACUUCUCCUGUUUAGGUCACAACGACUUUGGGCUUGAAGACACCCUCAGCCAAACCUAAUUCUAACUAUUGUGGGUCCCUAAUCUCCUAGGCAAAUUCAAUUUUAUUUAAACUCUUAACACUCCUGUGAACUUGGUAUUCUUGUUCCUUGGUAAGGGAUUAGGAGACGGAGGUUGAAUAAAAAUGAAGCAACUUGCCCACGUAUCAGAGCCAGCAUUUGAAUCCAUGUCUGAUCUUUCUGACUUCAGAUCGCCAGGAGCUUAAUCCUUGCUUUAGUAAUUAAUGUGGAACAUAAAGGGCAUGUGGCACAUGGUUUUGUAACAUUCGUGCUUUGGCAGAGCCCCAAUUUUGUGGAUUUUUUUCAAAAAGACGUUGGGUUUUUCAGAGAAAUUCAUUUGUGGCUUUUUGAAAGUGACAAACAUGUUAACUGUUUCUCAGUCAAUAAUACUUAUCAGAAAAGCGUUUUUCUUAAUUUCAAAGAAAGCCGUGUUGUUCCUCUCAUUUCCAGUGUUUGCUUCAUUGUCAUUUGCUAAUUAGGACAUUUCUAUGAAAAGAGGAUAUUUCGAAGAGAAACUGUGUGAUUCAGUUUCUUCAGUUCUAUCUACACCGAAGGAAAUUUCAAGAAAAUUUGGGAUUUUUUUUUCUAGAAUUCUCCUCACUGUGCAGCAACUGCAGAACAUUCCCCACCCCCAUUUCUGUUACGUGAUAAUGUAGAAAUUAGGAUGUUAGUGGGAUGAAGGUUAUGAAUUACUCGGAUUGUCACACGGGGGCAGCCUCCACAGCCAGCCUUUCCGCACAAUUUAGACAGGAGAACAGAGACGCGAGGUGGCUGUGUGCCAUGCGCGGGGCGAGGGUGGAGUGGGCAGGCUGGCAGCCGACGCCCGGAGCGCAGGGGCGAACCAGCAGGUCUGGGGAGGCUGGUAAAGCAGGUGCGGUGCAAACAAUGAGUUGGCAGCAGAGCCUGCAGUAGGUGGGGGACCUUGACCUGCUGCCGGGGCUCCCGGUGGUGCCCUGGGCGAGGCUUCAAGUCCAUUCAUUUUUACGGUCUCACAGUGGACACUUAAUUGGUCAGAACAGCAGUGUCUUGAGUGCAUUCCUGGGAACCCUGUACCUGCAGGAUUUGCCGUGUAAAAAAGAAUUCUGGGAAAACGCCGUGUUCUAAUACCUCUCUCGGAAAUUCACAGCAUGCUUUUAGCGUUUUAAAAGUCUAAGGUGAGAAAUCUAUUCUACUUGAUUUAACCCAGUUUCUGAAACUUCCUUGAAAAUAGAAAUUGUACUUUUUUUUUUUUUUUUUUUUUUUUUUUUUUUAAUACAGCAUCCUGUGGAGACUGCUUCAUGAUUCUUUCAGUAAGCGGUUAGCAGUGGCCUUGGAAGUGGCUGCUUGGGCGGGUUGAAUUCCUGCGAAAAUGUAGGAUUUGCAUCUAACCACAUGGGACUUUUCUUGGCAUCCUCUUUGCUCUUAUUUGCUGGUCCAUAUUCUCGAAAGCGUCGUGCAUCUCUGCUGGUAUCGAGUUCAUGGCAGCAAAACUCUAGUGCUUGAAAGGCCCGUUUAGGUCAUGUAAUCGUGCCUCUUCAUUUGCUGCCUCAGAAGAGGUUAAGUCAUUUGCCAGAGUCCGAAACAGCUAGUAAGUGAGCAUGGGGCCAGGGUCUCUUCAUGUGCCAUUACUUGGUUCCUAGUGGAAAUUACUGGACUUAGUUCCUUACUUUCAAGCCUUUUUUUUAGUGCUUCCUCCUGAUGGGGAUGGAUAAGAGCAAAAGAACUGACGUUUGAUGCCUGUCAAGGUUUGGCAUUGGAAUAAAAAUGAGCAGAAGAGGGAGCACCUGGGGGGGGAGGCACGGAUGCUGCUCAGUAAAAGAAGUGUCACAGAGGAAACCCCAAAACCCGGAUCAGGACUGCUGUGAAUGAUCAUUUUAUUUGUGUGGCUAAGAACGACUUACACCAAGCUCUGUCUGCAAGAGAAUGCGGAAAGUGGAUUACUUCUGGGUGGCCCCGAAGCGAGAACAAAUGAACAGCUGAACAGACAGUGCUGCAGCUGUCGCCAUACUUUACAGAUCGGCAGCGCCUUGAGCCCAUCGGGCGCUGCUCAUUAACCGCCAUGUUUCUCAUGGCGUGAAGGGUUUGGAAAGAAUGAUUUUUGAAAUUUCUCUUCCUAAGGCCAAGAGGAUUGACAUCAUUAGGGCCCACAUUAUGAUUUUGCUUUAAUUUAGAUUUUCUUUCUUUCAUGGUGAACUUAUUAGACCCUUAUUCAUUAAUUGCUAUAUGAAAUUGGAUUCUUUUAUUAUACAAGAGGUUCUUUUUUUAUUUAUUGUCAUAAUUUCACCUGUCACAAGUUUUUGUGGCAUUAGUUUUGAGUGUUCUCUUUUUUUUAAAUGUUUAUUUUGAGAGAGAGAGAGCGAGCGAGCAUACACUCGUGCACAUGUAAGGGAGGGGCAGAGAGGGAGGAAGAGAGAGAACCUCAAGCAGGCUUCAUGCUGUCAGCACAGAGCCCAAUGCAGGGCUCGAUCUCAAACCUUUCGUGAGAUCGUGACCAGAGCCGAAAUCAAGAGUUAGACGCUUAACCAAUGGAACCACCCAGGCGCCCCAAUUUUGAGUAUUAUGUUUUUAUGAACCACUGUCUACAGUCUUAAGUUUUAGAGAAAAAUAAUAAAGCCACAGUAUUUUCUCCUGUUUGAACUGGAGUAAUUCUUCUGUCAGAAGGGAGAAGGUUAAUGAAAGAUCAUUUUGAUUGAGUAGGCCUGACAACUCUUGCUUGAACUUUGUUACUUAACUGCUCCUCUGUCUUUGAAUUGCUCUGAUUAUUAUUAGGUUCUUUUUUAUUCGGGUGGACAUCUGCCUUACGACGAGUUUGGCCUGUGUUCUUGGUUUUGUCCUAUAGCCCUAUUCAGGGAGAGAGGUCAGAAACCCUACUGCAUAUGUAUAUUCUAUACAUUGUGGUUUCUAAAAAAAUUUUUUUAGUGUUUAUUUUUUGAGAGAGAGAGACAGAAUUCGAGUAGGGGAGGGGUAGAGAGAGAGGGAGACACAGAAUCUGAAGCAGGCUCCAGGCUCCAAGCUGUCGGCACAGAGCCCCACGUAGGGCUCAAACCUACGAACUGUGAGAUCAUGACCUCAGCCAAAGUUGGAUGUUUGACUGAGACACCCAGGACCCCCUGUAUAUUCUAUACAUUCUGACUUAAUUUUAUAACAAGGCUGGCAGGUGGGUAUCUUUCACCUCCCUUUUACAGAUAAAGUAACAGAUUCAGAGACUGAAGAUUCUGAAUGAUUUUAGAGACCAAAUGAGUUGCCAGGGCCAUGACAAAACAAGUAAUAGCUGACUCUCUGUCAGUAGUGGCCCCUCAAGUGGGAGAAGGGGGCAGGAUGAUACCUGAUGGAACAAGGUUCAUGUUCCUCCUUGCUAUGCAGAAAAUCUCUUCAUCUCCCAAAUCUAGCCUACACCUGAAAUAGGGUGGAUGGUAGGGACAGGAAGGUUGCCUGCUUGUCUUGUGCACACCUGUUUCCUUUAUCCUCUUGCCUGGAAAUGUUACCAGACUUCACAGGGGUUUCCGAUGACAGCUGGUUAAUUGUAAUGUUAAUUGAAGCCUUUUAAUGUAAUAGCACUCAUUGAGUCUAUAUAGGGAAAUCAAAUGAUAUUCAGACUCUGCAAGUACUUGCCAGGUCUCAGUAAAUACUUGUUGAAGUAUCAAGUGGUGGCCUUUGAAAUCGGAAGAUACGGGUAUCUGUGGGAAUGCCAUCUCCUAUACCAGGCACAGCCGGCAUGCAUCUGUCUACCUGAAGAGCUCCUGAGGCUGGGGUUGGAUUGAGGCAGCAUGGCUGGAGUAGUACCUAAUGAUCCCUAAUCAAAAAGUGGGGGAAGCAAAGUCACACAGUAAAAGCUGGGUUGAGUGUAAAGUUGGAAGGAAAAAAUUCCACAUGGAUCAGAAUCAGUAGGAAUUGGAAUUAAGAAUAAAUUCCAAUGCGAGAAGCUGUGGUGGGUGAGUAACGCGGGUCUGAAGGUGUGUAGAUGGGUUUAAUGUGAGCAGACCGUCCUUCUAGGUGUAUCCCCUAGAGAAACUUUGGAACACGUACCUAAAGAGACAAGUUCAGGAAGACCCCAUCCUUUAGCCUUUAUUGAUGCAGACAUAAGUAUAAAAAUGUGAAGAUAUCCAUGGGAUGGGUAAAUACUAAAAAGUUAGGAUAGUGGUUUGAGCUGAGCCCUCCAUUUGUUGUUGUUGUUGUUGUUAAUGCAUAAUUUAAUUGUCCUAAGCAUCUAGAAUCCUGUACUCGGCAGAUAGGUGUUUUGUGUGUGUGUUUGUUCUCUUAGCUGAUGAGGCUGAUAGAAACACAGAGUAGGAAGGAGUCAGAGAGAACAUCAGGUCUCUCCUUUUGUAGAUGAUGAAGCAGAGAUGCAGGGAUGAACAUUCCAGGUUGCUAGUGGUAGGACUGGGAAUAAGAGCCAGGCUUUUCUGACUGCUAUCCAGGCCCCUCUGCACCACACCAUACAUGGUCUCUUAAUGAAGGCUCUUUUCUGUAAAGCCAUGUCCUGGUAUCAUGCCCCUAACCCUUCGUAGUCCUCCAUUAGAGCACGUUUGUGGACUCUGGUGUUUCAAGGUAUAAGUUUCUAAAUUAAUAGCAACUUGCAUAGCCCACCAAGCCCUGAGUGCGUUUUUCUUCUGUGAAAAUGUCUUAGGGUCUAUCCACAUUUCAUUUUUUCCUCCAAGAUGUUUUAUAUUUUUUUAAUUAGAAACAAACAACUUUUUAAUAAAAAAAUCUUAUAAGCCCCAACUUUACAUGGAUUAUUUGUCCUAAAAAAGCUUUGUAGGACAAAUUCUUAAAAGUUGUCAAUAAUUAAAUAAUUUCAACAGGAAAAAUCUUAGGGAUUCUCAGCCCUCAAGCUGACAUUCAUUUGUAGUAACACAACAUUAAGUUCAGUUAGAAAUUGACAUAAUUGCUUCAAGGAGUAGCAUAGUUACCACAACAUGACCUAAAAAGGCAUUGUAUGUUCUCUAUAAUAUGGUUCUUUGUCAGCUUUUCUUGAACUCCUUUGUAGCUAUUGCACACCAAGAGUCUAAGGCCACAGUAAAACACAAAACUGCCUAAUUCGGCAACAAAAUAUCAACCUUUCUUAAAUUCUGUUUAAUGCAAAAACAAUGGAGUAUAUAGACAAAAUAAAUCAGUGAAAACAGGGGCGCCUGGGUGGCUCAGUCAGUUAAGUGUCUUGACUUGGGCUCGGGUCAUGAUCUCACAGCUUGUGAGUUCGAGCCCCAUGUUGGGCUCUGUGCUGACAUUUCAGAGCCUGGAGCCUGCUUUGGAUUCUGUGUCUCCCUCUCUCUGCUCCUCUCCCGCUCACGCUGUCUCUUCUCUCCUUCAAAAAUGAAUGAACAUGAAAAAAAAUUAAAAAUAAAUCAAUGAAAACAAUGUAUUGCAGGUUAAGUGUAGGUUAAAUGCCAGGGACUAGUGUUGUGAACUAAUGAGCCCCAAGUGCUGUGGAAUGAGAACUUCCGUACCACAUGCUCCACUUCUAAAGUCACAGUGAUGUUCACUAAUGACUUAGGUCCUGUGGCGCCCAGCUGGUCCUCAGGUGCUGCAUACACAAGUCAUUCUUCUUAAAUGCUAAGAGAAGUGCCAUAUACCGAAAAUUGCAUUAUUAAAGAAAGCUGCCUGUAAAGCAGCUCUCAACCCAAGGGAAUAUAUGGGUGUGUUAGAAAUGGAAACAGGUGCACGUGCAUGUGUGUGCGUGUGUGGUGGGGCUGGGUCGAUGGAAAAAAAGAAAAGAAAACCAGUGUGUUAACAACUUCUUAAAGAUGGGCACGCAAGUAAACCCCUCUCUCCCUUUCCUCUGCCUUUGUCCUCAGCCCUGAGAUUUAUCAGUUUGAUUUCAUUCACAGUCACUGAAGGUUUUUCCUUCUGAUAAGCAUUGAUGCCUUUUUGUAGCGUAGAAUGAGUGACUGAUGCAUUGUUUGGCCAGCUCGUAAUCAGUGGUGAGUAGUGUCCAACAUCGUAUUUCUAAAUAACGAUCCUCCUUCAGUAUUCUGUAGUCUUUUUCUGUCCCAGGUUCACUUAAAAUUUCGAUGACUGACUGCUUCUAGCCAAAGAAAUCAUCCCUCAGCUGGUUCUGCCUGGGUAAACUGAAGUAUCAUUGGGAUAUUUCUGUUUUAUUCAGUGUGAUACUACUCUGAUGCUUAAAAUAGUUUGGGUGUAAUUCUUUCUGCACUUGGGGAAUGGUGGUGGUCUUUAUUUUGAUUCAAGUAGCAAUAGUAAUUUUCAGGACAUGAGAUACACAAAAGUGAAACAGUGUAUUUCACAUAUUUUCAUAGUAAAAUGUUGUUUUGUGAAGGUGAAUGACAAGCUGAUUUGUUGCAUUUCCUCAAGCACAUUAGUCUGAAGGCUGUGCUCUCAGAUGUCUCCUCUUUUUUCUCUCCCUUUUGUCAGCAGAUGGCGUAUUACCGUUCCCUCUCACUUCUGUUUUCUUCGCCUUUUUAUUCCUCUCUUUCCUCCUCCUCUUCCUCCCUUGCCAACCCCCCCCACCUUGGCAAACAUUUGUCACAAGAAUGGAUGCUGUUAUGAAAAAAAAAUAAAGUCUGGCUGUGACAUGUUGUCUUUUCAAAAGUACAAGAAAGAAAGGAGGAAACAGGUUUUCAUUGCUUCGGGCAUAAUACAGCUGGCUAAUUUUCUCUGCUAACACUUUAUUAGAGGAACACUUGUUCCCCUUUAGAGCGGAUCUGACAUUUUUUUGUAACAGUUAUGUUUGCUUUUAUAUUUCUAUCCUGUUGUUUUGCAUGCAGAUAGCUCCUCUUUUCCCUUUUAGGUGGAUGGGCCCUUUCAUUAAUAUUACGUGUUUUUACUUAUUUAUUUAGUAAUUUUUUAGUGUUUUAUUAUUGUGAGAGAAAGAGAGUGCGCACGCUCGCACAAGUGGGGGAGGGGCAGAGAGAGGGAGACACAGAAUACGAAGCCAGCUCCAGGCUCCGAGCUGUCAGCGCAGCUUGAACGGACGCGGAUGCAGGGCUUGAACCCACGGACUGCGAGAUUAUGACCCGAACUGAAGUUGGGUGCUUAACCGACUGAGCCACCCAGGCACCCCAAUUUUAUGUGUUUUUAAAUACAGAACUUUUUCCAAAGGAAAAUCCUUUGAUGUACAGAUAAAUAGAUUAAAAUACAUUUGCACUUAAUUUUGGGAGUAAAACUCCUGUGACAGUGAUUGGGGCUGUCGUGAACAUGAGGUACACAUGAAGAUGUGAUUGGGUGGAGAAUACGUACAACUUAAUGAGAGGCUGUUAAUGACUGGAAGAGGGUUCAUUAAUAUGCGUUGUAAAACUAGGCUGUACGUGGAAUGUGUGAGGGAGCUAAUUAAAUAUUCUAAGGAAUCCUACGAACCCCAUAUUCCUUCUAUUCUUUUCUUAUUCUUUCUGCCAACAGUAAAUAUCAAAUGUUUCCAGAAUGGAUACUGCAUAAAGAGCAGGUACACGGAAUUGUCUGUGCUCUCAAAGGAUGUAGUCUUCCUGAAUGUAAUUUGGGAGUCCACUUUCCUGCUUUAGGAAGAAUGGUAGAGUGAGCCCAGUUUAAUCUUUAACGUAUUAUUACCACCGUCUCUGCUUGCGUAAAUCCCAGUUGCAACACAGCGCCUUCUUUCUGAUAUCUUCAUUCUAUUCCUACCCCUCUUCACUCACCCACCUACCUCCAAAGCAAAGUGAUCUCCGGCUCCUCUGAACACCCGGAGCAUUUGUGCAUACCUGCUUUUUGACCUCGUCACUUCCUACUUUGUAGCAUAGUUACUAACAGCUGUUGGACGGAAAGCAUCUUGAUCCCCAGUAGUUCUGAGCACAAUGCCCUGAACAGAAAUGCUGCCCACUAUUUGACUUAUUGAAUGCGUAUUGGAUAUUAACUUUACAAGUGCAUUGGCUCCUAGAAUCAGUCAGACCUGGGUUUGAAACUCAGCUCUGCGAGUCUGGCCAAGCCUUAACUGCUCUGAAUUUCAGUUUCCUAAUCUGCAAAGUAUAUGUGAUAAUGACUGCUUGGUAGAGAUGUUGUAGGGAUAGAAAGCAGUGGUGUAGGUAAAACACAGUGCUUGGGGCAUAGUAGAUGCGCAGUUUUCUAGAUGUGUACCCACAUGUCCUCCCCGGACACAACACGCACACACACACGCAUACACACACACACAGUGUAUGUGUGCAUGUGCAAGAUGCUAGGCCCUCAGAGACCAAACCACACAAGUCCUGUGCUCAUGUUGCUUAAAGAAGAAAUGAAACCAUACAGGGUGCAGAAUUGUGGUUCUGUUGGGGCAGUGGAGAGGGUGUACCAUGGGAGUUCAUGUGUUUCUCCCAGAGAAAGGAUGGAUAUGGUUUAGGGAAAGUGUUAAUGCAAAAGAUGGCAAUUGUGCAGAAGGUAGGAGAAUGGGUAGGGCUUGAAUGAAUGUUACUGAAGGCUAGAGAGGAAGAUACGUACUUUAAAAGAUUUGUCUCUUCAAAAACUAUAGUUGUGCAGUAGAACUUCCUGGUCGAGGACUGAGAUUGGAGAUGAAUGUCUCUACUCAUCUGCCAGUAUUUUUCUCAGAAACUUGCAUGCCUAUAUGGGCUUUCCUAUGACCUACCUACUCCUUUUGGUCCAAGUGUGGUAGUUGCCACCAGGCAUGUUGGAAAUGAUAAAAUAGUUCGGUAGCAACUUUGCCAGCGUUCUAAAUUUGGUAGUUGAUAGCACUGUAUUGGGUGCCUUUCCCAUGGGCAUGGAGAAGGGGAGAAUUAACUUGGUAACUGCCUGUAAAAAUACAUCAGCAGGAAGGUUUUCAGCUUAAUGGUGAUAAAAUAAAAUAUAAUACAGAAUAGCUCCCUAGUCCUUUCCAUACACAGAUUUUUCUAAAUGCUUUGAAGUAGAUGGGGGAUAAAAGAAGCCUGUAAUACUAAACCAUCCAAAAAUGAAAUCAAAUGCUUUAUGCCUGUUGGGUAUUGUUAUCACCCAAAUUCAAGUGUGGACCUUAAUGUAGAGUCUAUAGUCGAUAAAGUUAACACUAGUGAUCCCAGUUGGCACAGAGAACUACCGCUCAGACUGCUGAAUCCAUUAAGUAAUGGAAUCGGGUUUAACUGUUCCCCUCAGAGGUUGAAAAUCUUCACAAUGAGGAAAAACCACCCAUACGCCCAAUAGGAAUGUAUUUGAGUCCUUACCUAGGGGCACUGUGACUGCAGUCUCCUUGGAAAAAUUUUAGGAGUGGUCUGAGCUCAGUUGAGUUGUGUUGUUCGCCCUCUGCUUUUCCUCAGCCACAGCUGGGCUGUGCUGCUGCAGGGAGGGCUGGAGGAGCUGGAGAGGGAUGCAAGAGAGCGUCUCAUAGACCUGUCUACUUUAGAGCUAGAAAACCGGUGACACGUUGCUAUAUAGAAGUCUGUUUAGCAGCAACUGCAUUUGAGUUCAGGUACUUCUUUGAUGUUGGGAGAUGUCCAGUAUAUGUUACAGCAGUGAGGUUCCACCGACCCCAUUACUGAUCCUGUAGCCAGGAAGGGGCUGAUCUCUCCUGGCUAUUCGCCCUCUUUGCCCCACCUUCAAAUGCCUCUCCAUUUCUUAGACUGUUUAAAUCGGACAUUGGGAAGAAUUUAUUUUUCCUCAGCCUUCGCAAUCCUGUUUUGGUUGUAAAACAAAGUCAGAAACAAGAGCCUGGAGGUGUAUGCUCUAGGGUUAUGGUGCUGUUCCUGUCAAUUACUUGCUGUAUGAUUGUAGGUAACUCAGUUUCUAAAUACUUGUGUUUGCUCAUUAGUGAAAUGAACCUAUCUCGCUAGAGAACAUAGAUUUGUAACCUGGAAUCCAUAGAUGGCCUUCUGUGAAACUACAUAUGUAGUUACAUAUUUUUGAAGCCCUUACCCUUGUUUUGGAUUCUCAGAGGAGUCUGUGAACUCCUCUUCCCCACAUUAAUCUCUCUGCCUUGGAAGUUAUUGUGAAUUUGGUAAAAGAUAAUAGGUAAAAAGAGCUUUAGUAAUAUGAAAAACAUCAUUUCAAGUAGAUUAGAAUCACUCUCUGCUGAGACCAUCUAAUUCAUAUUUCCUCUCUUUUGGAACUCCUCAAUAAACACAUCUGUUUUCUUGUAGUACCUCCCUUCUUCCCUCCUCAUCUCUUCCAUCUUUCCAGUUGUGGAAGAUCUAGAAUGGAAAUCUGAGUACAGUUUUCCAGGCUUCAACACUUGUCAGACCUUUAGUUCAGUCUCAGACUGACUUUCCCCGACUGUGCUGUUUCAGCUUCUGCCAGUGCUUUGGUGUGCUGAAAACUGGCUUUAGCGUCUUCGGUUUCCAUAAUAUUCUUCUGGUUGCUUCUGCAUUGGUGGUACUUCAGCCCCACAUUGAUAUAGAGAAAAGACUAAUUUUCUUUUAUUUAAUCCUUUGAAAAAGACACCUUCAGCUGCUUACCCCAUUUGAACUUACUACAUAUUCUCUUAAGUAUAUGAGCUUAUCUUUUGUCAGCCAGAAACAGAAAGUAGAAAAAAAUCACCCUAGAUUUCUUUCAUAAGACUCUUGCAUUCUAACCCAGAUAUAGGGGGAGAUAUAGGGGUGUCUGGGUUGAACAUCGACUCUUGAUUUUGGCUCAGGUCACGCUCUCACGGUCAUGAGAUUGAGCCAUGUGUCAGAGUCUGUGCUGAUAGCACAGCUCUCUCUCUGUCUCUGCCCCUCCCCCACUUGCAUGAGCGGGCUCUUGCUCUCUCUCAAAAUAAAUAAACUUAAAAAAAUAAUAAAAUGAUAGAUCACAUAAAUUUCCUAGUUCUUGGGGCGCCUGGGUGGCGCAGUCGGUUAAGCGUCCGACUUCAGCCAGGUCACGAUCUCGCGUUCCGUGAGUUCGAGCCCCGCGUCAGGCUCUGGGCUGAUGGCUCAGAGCCUGGAGCCUGUUUCCGAUUCUGUGUCUCCCUCUCUCUCUGCCCCUCGCCCGUUCAUGCUCUGUCUCUCUCUGUCCCAAAAAUAAAUAAACGUUGAAAAAAAAAAAUUAAAAAAAAAAAUUUCCUAGUUCUUUGAGUCAUCUAUAAUUACAUAACAAACCAUUCCAAAACUUACUGGAUUAACACAAUUAUUUUACUUGCUCAUGACUCUGUGAGUUGGCUGGGGCUCAGUUGGGUGGUUCUUCUGCUGGUCUCUCUGAUGACCGAGAGUGGUUGCAACAAGAUGAUGGCUGGGGCUGGAAUAUCCAAGACACCUUGGCUCAUGUCCAACCACCUUAAUAGGAUCAUCUGGUAGGUUUUGAUCUCUUUCUCCCUGGCUUGCUUGGUCUUCUGUAUAUGAGAGCCGCCUAUUGGUAGAUAUUUGAGAGGGCAAGCCCCACUGUGCAAAUAUUUACCAAGCUUCUGCUUGCGUCAUGCCUGCACGUACACCCCAUCAGCCCAGCCCAGAGUUGUGUGGGAGGGCACGACACAGGAUGUGAGUACCACAAGUCCCAUGGUUCAUGGGGAGCUGCUAAGAUAACAUGCCACAUUAGCAUAUAGGAGUAGCUCAUUUCCUAUUUUUAUGAAAUGAGUGAUUCAGGUUUUCAACCAGGAUAGUUCACAACUCCAGCGAAAGGGGAAGUAUGUCCUUUGCUCUAAGGAAGCUCAGAUUUAGAAAUCUAAACUAAACAACAAGAUGAAUUUACAGAGCUUGAGGCAAUUGAGUAAGGGAUAAGAUUUUGUUAGAAAUGUUUGUUUUGCAAGUGGUAUUCAUCUAGAACUCCUCAUUAAUAUAUUUUAAGAAUUCAUUAUAAUACACCAUUAAUGGCUUGAUAAAAAGAAAUAGAAAGGGUGGCAAGGGAGGAAAGGGAAUUAAAAAAAAAUUUUUUUUAAGUUUAGGACGUUUUUUUUUAAAUUUCUGGGAGUUGUUGUCAUUUCAGGACAAUCAGAAAUCAAAACUUAAAGCGUCUAUGGUAUUAAAAUCUAUGAAGGAAAACCACUGUGACAUAGUUCGUGUGGAAUCAGUCGUACAGAUUGAUGAAUGUCAGGUCAUUUUCUCAAGGAGAGUCAUAGCCUUUCUCUUCCUUUGAAAUAUCUAAGGAGCAUUUUAAUUUAUGAGAAAGACCUGACAGAUUAGGAGAAAGAUCUGGUUACAGUUAGAGCACAGAAAGCUCACUGUACUGAAGUAUAGUAUUUCUGAUUGUACUUAAGUAGGUUACUUAUGUGUAGUACUUUACUUCGUUUUUAUUUUUUUAAUGUUUAUUUAUUUUUAAGAGAGAGAGAGAGAGGGUGAGCACCAGCAUGCGUGAGGGGAGAGGAGCAGAGAGAAAGGAAGACAGAGGAUCCAGACCAGGCUCUGUGCUGACAGCAGAGAGCCCAACGUCGGGCUCAAACUCAUGAACUACAAGAUCAUAACCUGAGCUAAAGUCGGACGGUUAACUGACUGAGCCACCCAGGCGCUCCCUUCCCCCCCCCCCCGCCACCAUAUAGUACUUCUUAAACUUACAUGUGCAAGCAAAUCUUGGGGAACUUACUACAGUGCACGUUCUGAUUCGGUAGUUCUGGGGUGUUGUACAUUUCUGCUGAGCUUCGGGGUGAUUCGGUAGUGCUCGUCCAACAAGGCUUUAGUAGACCUAACCCUUCUGAGGUUCCUAUCCUGGCCAGGCCUCUCAGGUAAACCCCCUUAAUUCUCAUACACACUGGUAUGUGACUUUUUACUUCUGUCAUUGACCCCCAGCAGGACAAACAGAAGUCCUUUUAGUGUCUUAUCACACAUGCUCAAGCCAUGUAUUUCACAACUAAGGAAUAGGUAUUAAUUUAAAACUACAGUUGGCCCUGGAACAACCUGGCUUUGAACUUUGCAGAUCCACUUAUAUGUAUUUUCUUAUGAUUUUCUUUUUUUUUUUUUAUGAUUUUUUUUUUUUUUUUGGGACAGAGAGAGACAGAGCAUGAACGGGGGAGGGGCAGAGAGAGAGGGAGACACAGAAUCGGAAACAGGCUCCAGGCUCCGAGCCAUCAGCCCAGAGCCUGACGCGGGGCUCGAACUCACGGACCGCGAGAUCGUGACCUGGCUGAAGUCGGACGCUUAACCGACUGCGCCACCCAGGCGCCCCUAUGAUUUUAUUUUUUAAGUAAUCUCUGUACCCAACGUGGGGCUCAAACCCAAGACCCCAGGAUCAAGAGUCACAUGCUCUUCUGACUGAACCAGCCAGGAACCCCCUCUUCCUACUGAUUUUUUUUUUAAUAACAUUUUCUUUUCUGUAGCUUGCUUUAUUUAGGAAUACAGUAUGUAAUGCAUAUAACCUACAAAGUACGUAUGAAUCGAUAGGUGCUUGUUAUCCAUAAGGCUUCCGGUCAGUAGUAGGCUAUUAGUAGUUAAGUUUUGGGAGAGUCAGAAGUUAUGUACAGACUUUUGACUAUUUGGUAUGGGGGGUGGUUACCCCUCAAGUUGUUCAAGGGUCGAUUUUUAGUUCCUUUGGCAUAUGGCAUUAAGUCAUUUGUAUAAAUCUGGCCUUUGUUAAUGGCUGUAACCCGAAAAAAGAAAAUUCUUGGUUUAAAUUGAAUUGAUUAGUCCCUCAGGGAUUUCUUAACCACAACCCUCAUAUCUGGCUAUCAACAAGACUUUUGCUUGUCUCAGAUUCUUCUUGAAAGCCAAGGUAUAUAGAGGGCCAGACACUCUGGUCUGCCAACUUUUGUCAAGUGCUAGCUGGUAAAAUGGGAUCAAAGUGUAUUCACCAGCACUCCCAAGACUCCACGUGAGCCACCGGACCUAGAGGUGUGGCCAUCCUUCCUCACUGUGGUGCGUUCAGUUCUCCAGAACUCUGUUUCUUAUUCUGGGCUUACACAUGUCUCUGGAGGUACUCCAGUCCAACCUGCCUUUUCCUGUGCAGUUUUCAAAGUAUAUCCUUUCUUCCGACCUUCCUCUUCGCAGAGGGAAGCAGUGCAGCCUCAGAGAUCUAGCCCAUCCAAAUAGUCCUACCCAGAAAUUUGUCUUCCAGUUAAAAAAUAUUUUUAAUUGGAAAAUUACGUACUAAUCUUCACCUCAGAAGACACUAAUAGUGGAACUCACUCUUUGAACAAAGGCAAUGUGGGUAAUAGGAGAGGGCUUUGGAACCGGACAAACUUGGAUUUGCACCCUAGCUCAGCUGUUACUAGCCUGAUCUAAAUCAUUUUUCUAAAUCAAAUGAAAUCUGGUGAGGGUUCCCACUUCUCAGGGUGUGUGGGAAAUCCACUCUCAAGUUGUUGUUGGGACCCCUCACUUUCCAGAAUGCGAGCAGGACUUCCAGUCCUCAUCUGUUCAUGGUUGCCACCGUUCAUGCACCUGGCCUGGACCCUUGUCGUCACUCGGAAGGGAGGCUCGUCCGUGUCUCUGCUUCCCUCACGGCUUUGUACAACACCCCAAACCGUGUGUUUACUACAGUGUCCACAAAUACUGUGUCAACAUCUUUAUCUGAAAUCUUGCCCCCGGCAGUGCGUAAAUGGGUCAGGGCUUUGCUCUUCAUGGGACCCUAACCUUCUCCUCUCCCAGUUUGGGGAAAAUCAGGCCUACGGGUUGAAUAACUCACUUUUUCAAUCCCACAAGCCCACAGCCUUCAUACCCAUAGCUUUGGGGGAUUCUAGCACUUUAAUUCCUUUGGCCUCCACCUUUAAAACUCAGAGGUCCCCAGGUUAGUCCACCCAUCCAGAGAAUUUCCCUUUUUGUUAUAAACACCACCAAAGGUAAAAAAAAAAAAAAGUGUGUGUGUGNNNNNNNNNNNNNNNNNNNNNNNNNNNNNNNNNNNNNNNNNNNNNNNNNNNNNNNNNNNNNNNNNNNNNNNNNNNNNNNNNNNNNNNNNNNNNNNNNNNNNNNNNNNNNNNNNNNNNNNNNNNNNNNNNNNNNNNNNNNNNNNNNNNNNNNNNNNNNNNNNNNNNNNNNNNNNNNNNNNNNNNNNNNNNNNNNNNNNNNNNNNNNNNNNNNNNNNNNNNNNNNNNNNNNNNNNNNNNNNNNNNUUUAUAAUAUAUAUAAUAUAUACAUUUGUAAUUAAAAUUUUAAUAUUUAUAUAUUUAUAUAUAAAUAUAUAUAUUUAUAAAAUAUAUGUUAUAUAUAAAUUUAUAUAAACUUAUAAUUAAAAAUUUAAAUAAUACAUAAAUUUAUUAAAUUCAUUUUUAUUUAUUGUUAGAUAAUAAUAUUAUUUUAAUUUAUCUAACAACUCUAAUGGUAUUCCUAUUUUUACAUGGAAGGAAAUUGUGGCUUACGGGAUUUGACCAAGCACCUGUGGCUAGUGAGUGGAAGAAUCUCAGUGUGAGCGGAGAUCUUUGGUUACGAAACCCUGGAAACACGGUGGUUGGGCUCUCACAUUGCCAGUGACUCUUUGAGCUUGCGUAUAUUUGUUAAACGUAUUUCCCUUACCUGAAGACAUUGGCGUCGGGUGGUUGCACUCCAUAGCAUCCUUCCAUCUAAACAGUCUGUGACUCUGCGUAACUGCCGUUUUACUUCCCCUCUUUUUCAGCCAGAAAAGUGACUUUUUACACUGUAAGGUAUACACGGCUGCCGUAGUUCCUCGGGGAAGGGCAGCUCAGUGGGGGAGGUACCCAGGGACUACAGUUACAAAUUAGUGGCUCUGAGCAACUAGUUUGUUGAAGGAGCUUUUGCAGGUAACCUCAGAAGGCCCCAAUGUUGACCGCCUUUGAACAAUCACAGCGAAUUUGAAAGGGGUCAAAUACAGAAGAAAAACCACUUUUGUCCAAAUUUUAAAUGAAGCAAGAGAAUCCGGAAGCUCAGUGGAUCCUUUGACUGUGGCUCACCAGUGGAACAUAGAGUCAGAGAGGUGAUUUAUAAACCUUUAUAAAAAAAGAGGUAUUUAUAAAAUACUUUAGAAAAGUACGCAGUGUUAGGAGGUCCAGCAUGAGCUCACUAGAGGACAGAUAUUAAACUGACUUUGUUUCCUGUUUUGAAAGAGUCCACAUAUUAAGGGUAUGUGGUUGAUGUAUUUUGUCUUGAUUUUACUAAAGCAUUUCACAGAGAAUUCUAUGAAGAUGGUGACAUGUUGAUUAGAUCAGUAGUUUCCUUUUUUUUUUUUUUUUUUUGCUCCCUCCUAAGAACUAGAUUCUCAUCUGUACUCCACACCUAUUGGAAGAAAAUUAUUGAGAAAAGGGCCCAAGAAUCCAUAUGUUAGAAAAGCUUAUCCAGGUCCACUGCUGCCAUUCCAUAGACUGGCAUUUGAGAAACACCAUAGAAGUUUUCAAAUUUGGGGAGAGGGGCAGGGAAUCCCCUGCUCAAAUAAAAUUUUUUAUGAAACUCUACCAUAUAAAACAGAUAAAGUGACAUAUGAUCCUAGUAUAAAUUUUUUUUUUUUUUUGAAAUUUACACUUACAAUUUUUUUUUAAGUUUAUUUAUUUUGAGAGAGAGAGAGAGAGAGAGUGUGCACACCCAAGUUGGGGAAUGGAAAACAAAGAGAGAAUCCCAAGCAGGCUCUGUGCUGUCAGCGUGGAGCCCGAUUCAGGGCUCAAACUCACAAACCGUGAGAUCAUGAGCGGAGCCAAAACCAAGAGUCGGACACUUAACCGACUGAGCUUCCCAGGUGCCCCUGUGUUCAUAAUGUUUACUGAAGAGUCAGAACAAUGAGGCUGUUAAUGAAAAAGUUUAAAUCAGGUGCUGAUAAUCACUGUGUUAUAACUGUGUAUUCACAUCAGCUUCUGUGUUUCAUGAGAUUGUAUACUUUGCUUUAAAUGCAUAAUAUUUAAGAAAUCUGCUCUUACAAUUACUCACAAAUUAUAACCGGGUUUUUUUGGUGUGUGUUUGCUUCGUUUUUAAAUGACUUGCCAUGGAAUCCCAGGAUACUUUUCAAUUCCCCUAACCUAAGGUAGGGAAUAUUUGUUUCAGAACUGUAACCCUGUAAUGAAACCUAUGGAAACAAUUGCUCGCAUUCCUUAUCAUAAAUCUAAAGUCAUACAGGAAACAUCUAACUCCUAGAAUAAAUAUUUAUUCUCUCUCAAAUAGGAUAUUAUCACAAAGGACUUUUUACUGUGAUGAAAGCAAGGCCGUAUAGGUGCCCCUGAGCCUCGCCUGGCAUUUAAUGGAAGCCCACACUUGGGCGUGGUUUUGUGUGUGUGUGCUUACUUGAACAACUUCACGAGAGCGGACUGUGCAUACUGGUGUUUUUCCUAAGACCAAGGGAGGCCUACAACUUCCCUUACCAGUGUCACACUUACAAGAAGCCCAUGUGUGCACAUAGAGGUCCCCCAGCCAGGGUCAUGAGGCAUGACCUGUGUAUCUGCAGUGGGUGACGAGUUUGUAUAUAAGCCAUUUCGGUGUCAUUUAAAACAACUACAGCUUUGAAAAUAUAUAAAAUACAUUCGAACAUUAGGAACAGAGGGUGGUGUCCUCGGAGCACCUCCACCGGAGUGCUCUUUUUGAAAACACGGAUCUAAUAUUGACUGAUUCAUGUUGAGGAAGAUCCUUGAUUUUCUGCAGAAUACACAGAUAAAGUUGGGGACAGCUAGGUAGUUGCAGAUGAGAAAAAUACCACAGUUGAGAAAGUGGAUUUGUGUACACAAAGAAUAGAGUACUGUUGAGUGCAAAUGGGGAAGUGAUCUCUCUUCUGGCCAGAAAAUCAGGGAAGGCUUCCUGGAAGAGAAGACAUCUGACGAGGCCUUUGAGGAUGUUUAGGUCUUGGGUAUGAGAAUUAUGAGGGAGAAGAAAUGAUGUUGUAGGGCAGUUCACCUUUUUGGAGAGUAUGAUUUUAGGCAAAAAUAAUGUACAUGUCACUAUUCUCUUACACAGAUAACCUUCUUCACUAGUAAAUGAGCUGUAUGUGCAUUCAAAGGUAGAAUCCAUUCAGAAUCUGAAAAAAGGACCAUUUUCAUACAUUUACACGUGCCUCAAGUUUCCUUCAAAGUUAUCACUGUCAGACAGUGAUUCACUUGUUCAGAUUUAGACCUUUCCAGUGAUACUUUGCCCAACUUGGCUGCCCCUUUAAUACCUCCAUGCAUCAUAAAUGGACCCUAAACCUGGCCUCUGCAAGAGUUCUAGCCAUUCAUUUAUCCAGCUAUUCGCCCACGCUGGCAUAUUGAGCACCUAUAUAUGUGUAGGUCUUGGUGAGUUCUAGGCACCCAGCAGUGAACAAGUCAGCACUGGAGGGUGAAGUGGGUGCCUGGAAACCACCUAAAGUUCUUAUCGCUGAACUGCAUUUAAGAAGAUAACAAUGCAACUUUUCCCACAAACUGAUAACAGCAUAAAGUGUACACAUGCCAGAGCGUUUACAUUUUAACAAGGAUCAAAGCUUCGCCUCAAACUACUUCUAAUCAGGAGGCGUGUGAGGGGAAUUGUGGUUUGAGCCUUGGGUCUUUUCCAGCUUAUACGGCUUCUUAGGCAGCAGGAUUGGUACUGUCCUAUCUGUACUUUAAGGUGGAGACUGGCUCUGGUAAUAUUCCUCUCAGCAAAGUAGCCUAAAGACAACUCUACAGCAGGAGGGAAAUCAGUUAGAUAGUCCAUAAUGGCAAAGACUCUUUCUGAGGGGCAGGAUUGCAGAGCAUGGAGAGAGGGGGUGUAGCACGGUGGCAGGUGCACAGAGCCCGCUGGUGCAUAGCCCGGCUCUUGGUGGCUGGGUGAGCCAUCCAACCCCUCUGUGCAUCUGGAAAUACAGAUGAUAAUGGUAAUUACCCACCUCAAAGGAUUGCUGAGGGUCAAAUAAGUUAGUAUAGAAAGAGCAUUUAGAAUUGUGCCUGCCGUAGAGUAACUGCAUUAGGUUAAAUUAGCUAUUAUUUCUUUCAGCCAUGUGUUUUUCCAGUUUGCCCAUUUUCUGAGAACAUAGAGUAGCUAUAGAGGAAGAGUGCAUAAUUGGGUGAUGAGUAAUUCCUUCUUUCACCUCUUCACACCCCCCACACUCCUGCUCCACAGACCCCAGAGUUAACUUGUUUUGUAAGGCUAUAACAUCAUAUUUGAAUGUAUGACCUUGAAAUUUUCUGAUUAAGUAGUUCUGGGCAAAGCUCUAAUGGUUGGAAAAUAAAUCAGGCCUCCCACACAUACCUGCUCAGCCAAGAAUUUGUUUGCCCCAGGAACCGUGGGUGGGCGGGAGUGGAAGCAAGUCCACACCCAGGCUUAUGUGAACUCUCUGUUCCUGCUGGAGACUGGGGUCAUCCUUCUCCCUUUGCUUACCAAUGCUUCCUGGUCAUUUCUUUUCAACCUCAGUUGAAGAAAUAGAGAAACAAAUAUUUUCCUUUCUCAUUUUCUCUCUCCCCAGCUCCAGGGGAACACUCCCCCCAUCCCUGCUUGUGUGUUUUCUCUAGUUUGGCUUUGUAUUUGCCCCUUGGUAUUGCACUUGUGCAAAUUUCUCCCAAGCCCAGGGAGACAGCAUACCGUGUCUGAUGAUGGACUGUAGGGGUCCCUGCAUGGUUCCCCAGUUUCAGGGUCUGCGGCAGGGCCCUCCCGGAAGUGCCCUGGAACUUUCUGUUGGUUCUUGUAGCCAGGGAUAGAGAACCCCGCCCCUGCCUUUGCACUGGGACGAGUCACAGGUGCUCCUGCCUUCCGGGAGUGUCUGGGGGACACCUGCUGUCUGCGUCCUGGGGAGACGGGUGAGGGCUCCUCGGAAAUGUGCCAUGUUGAGACCUGUGGUCUGUGUGACCCUCGGGUACUGGUUCCUGGCUUGUUUUGUUUUUCUUUUUGGUCCAUCGUCCUAGUGAAGUCCUCUCGUUAGAGCAGGUAUGCUCUUUUCUGAGCCUGAGAACAGGUGUGUACCAGUCCCUGUCCUGAGGGAGGCAGUCUGGGAUGAGGUGGAAGGAGGGCUUCUCAGACCCGGGGAAAUCUCUUUGGGCAGAGCGAAGCUUAGAAAGUCAUGUGACCUUUCUGAGCCUGUGUGAUCACUCCUUGCCCAUCCGGUGAAUGGGAAGCCAUGCGGGAUGUGGAGAGCUCCCAGGAAUGCGUCCUUCCUUUUCCUCUGUUUCCUUCUCAAAUGGUGGAAUGCAGGCUUAUGGUAGGGAUAGGUAGGUACUGGGUCAAUUUUUUUCUAAUAACCUAAUGGGCUUCAGCAUGGGGGACUGGUAUUUGGGGGCCUUUGCCCUGUAGUCAGACUCCAGAUGAGCCCAUCUCAGGAGAAGCAUCCUUCGCCCUCCUGGCUGGCCGAGGACUCGGAGAAGCAGCAGAAACUCCUUUGGAAUUUUGCCACUUUAUAUCCCCUCUAGUUUGCUCGACUAUAAGGAAGAACUGGCAAAAUUAAAAAUGAAAAAUUGUUUUGAAAAUUACACCCUGUCUACAAACAGCCGCAGAUCAAGAGUAACCACCAGACAUCCUGUUGCUCAGCAUGCUGGCUGGUCGGGGGUUGCUGGGUUCGGGGCUCUGCCUCGGCGUUGGGCCCUGAAACAGGCCCGUGUUCUGGAUCAGUUGGCACAGGCCACCUCUUAACCGCCACUGUAAAACCUGUCGGAUAAAAAGAAGUCAGCACGAUAAAAUCUGCAUCUGGACAGUGUGCUGUGCCUUCCUGCUCAUUUCCAUUUUCCAAAUCUAGGAUAUUUUUUUGUUUUAAAAGAGGUGCUGAAAGAAGUUUAUCUGAUUGUGUGACUUGGUGUGAGGCCAGAAAACUUCUGCUAACGUCUCUGAAAUAUCUCUUUUAAAGCUGUUUUUUAAACCUCCUGAAGUGAACUAAAGACCUUCACUAACUCCUAGACUCUAAAGUUCUCAUUAUGGAGAAGGUCCACCCUGCUUCCUGCUAGAAUAAGGAAAGGGGGUGACAGUUCAUAUGCAAAUGGCCCCACCACCCGCUAGGAGGUGGCCGAAGUGGCUUCCUCAGGCCUUGUCCCAGAGCCACCGGAUUGGAUUGUCUGUGUGGCACCCACAGAGCCCAGGGCAGCUCCACAGGAAACAGUGGGACUACUGGGCGAAGGCUGUCGGGGAGGUAAGGGUGGGGAUGUGUUUACAGUCCCCUGUGAGCAGAAAGUGGGGAGAGGGGAGAAGGCACUCAGUCCGGGCCACCAGUCCUGAUGCGGGACCAGGCUUUGUGGGACAGUUUUCUGGUUUCAGGUGUGGGUUCACCUGUCAACUCUUCUUUCAGAAAGGUGUGGUGAGGUCUGUGGAAAUCCUUCCAAAUAAUAAUUACCAUUAUUAGCGAUGGUUCUGCAGUUGCCCGGUUUAUUCACCUGUCCGUCCCUCCCCUGAGAAAUCCCAGUCAGAAUGGCCCUCCAUCUGAGUGACCACAGAGCAUGUACUUGUCAUGAUUUGAGUGUUGCCAGUGGUCCGAUAAGAAGCAGAUUAACUUGGGUGAAGAUUCUUAAGAAAACAAGAACAAGAGGUGAAAUGUAAUUCCCUUUAUUGGUAUUAAUUAGUAAUUAGGGUAAAGGCUAAUUUCGGGAAAAGUUUGGUGACACCAUUGGCAUUUCUGGUAUGCAGAGUUUUAGCACAAAGGCUCAUAAAUAUUUUUUUUAAUUAGUUUUGAGAGAGAGACAGAGGGAGAGGUGGAGAACACAAGUGGGGAAAGGGCAGAGAGAGAACGAGACAGAAUCCAAAGCUGGCUCCGGGCUCUGAGCUGUCAGCACAGAGCCCAAGGCGGGGCUCGAACCCACUUCGUAAAUAUAAAGUAUUGCCAAGGUGUUUUGCCAGUAGUGGCCUCCGUACCUGCUUUAAUGAUAUACUUACUCCAAACUUUAGGGAAAUGCCAUGGGCAUAUUUUCUGCAAGUUUCCCAGUAACUGUGAAAGAUCGUUUCUUGUGUACAAAUUAAUAGGGAAAACCAUUUGUAUUACUAAGUAAUAAGUAUAUAUGGGUAUUUAUAUGCACAAGCAAAAGCAAAAUUUGGGGAUUGUUUCUAAGCAAUUACUAGAUUAAACAAUAAUUAGAUUAAAACAUGCAUGAAAUGAUAUACCUUAAUGAAUGUUGCAGUACUUUCUGUCUCUCUACAUAGGGUAGGUUCAUUCAGACUACCUUCCCUCUCAGUACCAGAAGUCCCUCUAUGAUAAACAUGACAGAUAAUAAUUUAGGCAUCAGAUCCCCUCUCUUCACUUCCCUCCCAUUCUCUUCCUCCUUCUCUCCCUCCCUCCACUUUUCAUCUUAUACUGGGCCCAGGUCACUGUGGUUGGCACUGCAGAGACACAGGUAAGUAGCCAGGAUGCUGCCCUCGGAGGCCUCACUGUAGAGAGUGUGUAGAGCAGAGUGAGUUUGCACGGGCUGGUGUGUGAUGCUCUCUGCACAAGGGGCGGGCUCUGGACCUGCUCUCAGAAGAGAGACCGCACGGGACUCAGAGGUUAUGCGGAAGCUAAAGUCUCCAGACCGAAGAGGUGGCCUGGGAACGAAGAGCCAUUCUAGGCACAGCGCUUGUGAUGCCCAGUGUCGUGAAACCGUGUUUGGGGACCGGCGUGCAGCCUGGCUCCGUUGUGACGAGUGAUACCUGGGAGGGGCAGGGCGGCAGAAAGAGGCUGGCUCAGUGAUGAUGGGAGCUCACUACUUGGCAAACAACAACAACAGAACAAAACACAAAAAAGGUGCUGUGACUGAGGAAGUGUAUUGUGUUAGAAAGUUUUACCUUAUAUUGUGCCGAAUUUGUCCCCUUUUCUAUUUUACUGUUGGGUUAGAACCUCAGGAGCCAGCACAGAAUGAACCUGUCCACUCUUUGCCACACGCCUUUAUGUGUAGGUGAUGUUUCGCUUCUUUAAGUCUUGCCCCAAGCUGUGUCUGCUACCUUCAUUUAUCCUUUUAAAUAGGUUUUGGUCGGGGAGCCUUGGUGGCUCAGUUGGUUGAGUGUCUGACUCUUGGUUUCGGCUCAGGUCACGAUCUCACAGUUCAUGAGUUUGAGCCCCACAUCAUGCUCUGCGCUGGCAUUGCGGAACGUGCUUGGGAUUCUCUGUCUCCCUCUCUGUCUCCACUCCUCCCCUGCUUGUGCUCUCUCUCUCUCUCUAAGUAAAUGAAUAAAAAACUUAAAAAAUAUAUAAAUAGGUUUUGGUUAAUAGUUUGUUUCUUUAACAUAAGCCAGCAGUAAUUCUAGUUGGUUCUUUCAGAGUCUGCGAACAAGUGAUUAUGAUCUCCUGCAUUGAUCUACAUCUCCAAAACAGUUUCUGCCGCUACACCCUUUUGUCAGUUGGCACCUUUCUGCCGGGUUCCUCCCCCUGUGGUUUUACAGGAUCCCUGAGCAGGGAAGCAGUCAGGGAUUGUGGGUCCGGCCUCUCGUCUGCGUCCUUAACAGUCUCCUCUUUCCGCCACCUGAUUUCCUUUUGUCAUCUUAGGGCUNNNNNNNNNNNNNNNNNNNNNNNNNNNNNNNNNNNNNNNNNNNNNNNNNNNNNNNNNNCCGUCUCACCACUUUUAUCUUCUACUUCAGAAGGAAACUAACAAAUACAUACCUGUGAAAUGGUGAUAAAAAUUAUUGAGGAUGAACUAAAAUAUUAGCACAGGGCUGAGGGCUGAGAGAGGUAUGCCAUAGCUCAGGUUACAUUUUCACACGAAUUAUCUGGAAUUAGAAAAUACCAGCUAUAUUCUGAAGGAGAGAUUUGGCCAUGUGUGUAAUAUGGGACCCAUCUGCUUGACAGGGUAGGGGUCGGCUCCAACGAAGGGCUCUCUAGGGCUGAUUGUUGAUAGAAGCCAGUAGUGCUGGUGCCUGAAGCAAUCAGUUGGCCAUCCACUUUCCCUCUUGAUAAACAUGGCAUGCUUUCCCAGCCUUCCCAGCCAUACCACAGUUACCUGUGGCUUAGCUUCUUUGCAAAAAAAGGAGGAGAUGGAAAAUGUUGAGUGACUUCGGUUCUCUCACACCCUCACCUCAUGCUGAAGCUGGGAGCUUACCUAUAGCAAUGGUCCUUUUUGGGGACCAUUCUUCCCCAUGGGGAGGGGAUGAGUGAAGAGAAAGACAGCCUUAUGUGUUUGGUCAAGUGGGAAUUUCAGAUUGAAUCUGUUAGCCAAGGAGGCCCCAGAAAAGACUGGGAUGUUGCUGGGAUUUAAUUAUCCUAUACCACGGAGGGCAGAUUCUUAUUUUUGGCCCAGAGUGAAACAGUCUUAAAUGCCGAUGUCUCAGUCUCUGCCCCUGGUACUUCAAAGGGAAUAGAAGGGAGAGGGGAAGGAGACAGGACAAUAACACUCUGCUGUGUACUCGGAUUGUGGUCCACUGACCAGCAGCAUCAGCUUCACCAGAGAGCCUUCUAGAAAUGCCGACUUUCAAGCCCCAACCCAGAGGUACCAAGUCAGAACCUGCAUUUUGCAGGGUACCUGCGAUUCCUGGGGACCUUGAAGUUUUGGAAAAAACACGGCUUUAGGAGGCAGUGACCGUAGUCGAUUGACAGACCAUGAGCAAUGUACCUGUCUUCGCACACUUGGAGAAAUACUGAACAAAUGUGGCGUAUCAACUAUGGGUAUUAAAUGCUGACAAUCAAAGUUUAAUUUUGUUUGCAGCUAGAGACCAGGCCCACUGAUCCUGUUUGACUAAACAGCAGCAUUCUGUUCAGGGAAAGACAGGGGUUUGUUUAGGACACAGAUGACUGCCCCUGGCUUGCUGAUAGCAAGUGAAGAGUUGCUUCCUUGCCCUGGGGCAGAAUGGUUUCCGGGACAACAGUGAAGCCACGCUCUCCUCCCCCCACCCCCUCCCCCCACAUUAACCGUAGAGCAGAGAAUAAAAAGAGCACUUAAUUUUUUUUUUUUUUUCCACAUCACGUUAUUAUCAUGGGUUUCUCAGGGAGAAAAUUUGCAAGAAAGAAAAUCUGCACAUUCUUUAGUGAUGUGCCAAGCAUUUUUUUUUUUUUUCUGGUUUGAACUCAAACUGAUACACCUGACACACGUCAGGGUUAGAUUAUAUUGAUCUAAGUCUGAUUUUAAAACUGUAUCUGUUUGUAAUUCUUCCACACUGUGAUGCAAAGAUUUUUUUGUGUGUUGGUUUUUUCCACUCUCUGUGAUGAUCAUAUGUUACUUCGCUAUAGAUAACAAUCCACUAAGUUUUCUUUUAUAAAAGUAAGAAUUAAGACCAAAAAAACCCCAAAACCCUGUUAUCGAUAAAAGGAUUAAGACUACUAGAAUCAGUCAAGUUGAGGGAGUUAGGGUUAAUCCCAGGGCAUUUCCUUCAAGUGCCAUGAAGAACCCAUCAGCUUGUUAGAAGCCCGUCCACGGCUGUACUCUAGUUGUAGCAGCUGUACUGUCUGGCCUGGGUUAUUUCUGUAGCCCACUAACUGGUCUUGCUCUCUCUUCAGUCUGUUCUCAGCCCAGCCAGAGCAUAUUUGCCUCUGCCCAAAACAGUUGGCUUCCAGGGCUCUCAGAAGAAAACCCAAAGGCCUCAUAGUGUCCUAAGAGGCCCAUCGCUUACCUCUCUGACCCCAUAUCCUAUUACCAUCUCCCUUGCAUAUCCCAGUUAGCAGGCCACACUUCUGCCUCAGGGCCUUUGCACUUACUGAUCCCUCUGUCCGGAACUGUCUUUCUCCAUAUAUUUACAUAACUGUAUCCCAAACUUUCUUUAGGUCUUUGUUCAUAUGUCAGUUUCUCAGCGAGGCUUUUUUUGACUAAUAUAUGUGUUCAUUGUUUGUCUCCUUCUAGAAUAUUACUUCGUUGAGAAGAAGGGAUUUUGUCUUGUUCGUCUUGUGUUCACAGCACUUAAAAUGAUGCCUGGCUUAUUCAAGGUGCAUUGUGUUUGUGGUUUGAAUGAGUGAAGUUGCCCCUUUCCAGCUCCCUGACUAGACAUGAAUUUAGAUCCGAGGGCAUUGUGGGACUUCUUGCUCCCAGUUCUGUUCUCAUUCACGUCACAUAAGAGGGCUAAAACGUUAGGAGAACAUCUUUAAAAUAUUAACCACAGCUGUGAGCCAUUGAAAGCAUUCUACACAGUGAGGAAAUGGCAGCUAAUUGUUGAUUUGUAAGGCAAAUGGGAGAAUAACCCAGCACCAUCCAGGUCCCCUGUGUGCCCGCACCUGGGGAAUAGGAGGGAGGAGCAGUGUCUGGGGCCUCGGUCAGGAGUCGUCACACUUUCUUGCAUGGGCCCUUUGCUUGUGCCUUAUCCCACUCAGUCUCUCGCGUCCCCUCCUCCGAGGAUUAGGCUUUGGGUGUUUGUGUGCACGCGGGUGUGUAUGUACAUUUGUUUGCCAGUGCUGUCUCAUCAGGGGCUUCCUUUGGCCACAGUUUAUGUUUUCCUUUUUGUUUACAGCGUUUCUUAGUAACUCGCUGCCACAAGUCCUCUGCACAGAGUUGCUACCCAAACGUAUCUUGAACUUCGUGCUAUUUCUCUUCUAGUAUCUUAAGAUUUAUUGUGGCCAUGGAAGUCUAGGAAACCGUAAUGUUACAGAAGUGAAUGUAGACAGUGCCCAUAUGACUGUCAUCAUCACAGGGGUAGGAGGACAUCUGGGGAGGACGGAACCCAAACGGGGAAGCCGUAUGGUCUACCUGACAGAAUGGUUCCUGUUUCGGUGAUGGAUGCAGCAGCUUCUAACAGCCCAAAGCCAUCCUUCCUUCGACAAAAUAUCUCUUGAAUGUCCGUGCUUGUGGAAUGUGCUAAUAAAAUGAGCACAGCAUCCACCCGCAUGGAGCUUCUCAUACUCUAAUGAGAGGAAUAAACAAAAUCACGUCACUGUGUAAUUGUAAACUGUGAUAAAUGCUGUGAAGGAGAAAAUCACGGUGCUAUGGGAGCUUAAAAUAGGGGCAUUUGUCCCAGUCUUGGGGUCAGGUCACAUUCGAGCCCAGACUCGCAGGUUACUAGGCACGUGUGUGCUUUGGCAAGGUGGGGGGGGGGGGGGGCAGAAUAUUGUGCCUUAAUUUCCAGGCAGAGGAAAUGAGGUGUGCAAAAUCUCCGAGGUGUUGAGGGUUUUUAUGUAUUGGAGAGAUUGAAAGGAGACCAGCAUGGCUGAAGUGGUUGUGAGGAUGACGGGGACGGUGGUGCCGGAGGAGGCCGGGCAGGUCAGCCAGGGACAGGCGAGGCUUUGGCGUGCACUUUCGGGUCUUUAUCAUGAGCUCAGUGUACAGCCCUAAAGGGGUUUAAGUAAGGCUGAGCCAUGACCUAUUUUCUGUCUUUGAAGGUAUACUCUGUACACAGGGUGGAUCGUGGACUGGAAAAGGAAGAGAGUGGAAGCUGGGCAAAUACCUGCAAGUAUCCUGCGUUUCUCCAGGAGAAGGAUGAUAGGGCGAGAAUGGUGGUGGCACGGUAGCUAGGAACACUUGUCCGGAGGGAGAAUGUUGGAGGCCAGCGGCAUCGAGAUUGUGAUUGCUCUCAUUUGCUCACUGAACAAUCUUCUGUUCGUUUGGCUUGAUCUUAACCUGCCUGUAAGGUGCCGAUACCUGGGAUUUCAGGAAAUACUUGUUGGCUAAAGAAAUGUGAAUACAUUGGUCAAGCUGGACGUAGCAGGUGUCCAGAUUGUCUGGCAAUUACGCUUUUCAUUGUAAAUGAAUAUAAAGGCAGUAUAGCUUUAUGUAUCAGUCUCUUCUGAGCUUUCUUAGCAUGCAUCAGUACUGAUAAACGUAAUCAUUUCUGGAACCUCACUGAGAUAGACUUUUGGAGCCAAGAAAUUUGAAAGACAGUCCUGAAUUACCCGUCAGUCCUGAAUUCUCCGAGGUGAACGUCACCCUGUGGAGACUCUCUGAACAGCUACCUUUCCCUGGCAGUAUCGUCUAUUUUGAUCAAUGCUUUUCCAUUGUCCUUUUUAAAAAAUUUAAGUAAGCCCAAGAUAGUUAUAUCCACGAAUUGUUUCUGUCUCUAGAAUAGCAAUUAUUCCACCCAGUGUGGGAAGGUGCUGCCCACCUAUAAAAAAAGAACUAUAGAAUUUGAUUGUUUAAAAGGCAUAUUAAAUGUAGAAAGAUUGAGAGUCAAGGAGAACCUUGUUCUAAAUUGUUUCCCUGUGCACCUAACUUUUUAUUAUGGCACGUUGAUUUCCUAUGAAACUUAAAGUUUUUGUUUUUCAAAUCAUCUGUUAUCGAGACAUCCGGUGAUACUUGUCUGAAUGGCUCUACCUAGGAACUCUGGGAAGUUGGGCAGCUGAAAUAAUUGUCUAAGGUUUAAUGAAGCCCUUUUGGAGCUCCUGAGUUCAGAAGAUGUCAAAGAAUGGUAUAAAACACAUGUGCACAUUUAUGGCUGACUAUAUUUUCCUCAUCUUUUGCAGGACAAAAAUGGAAGAAACAGAGGUCCUUUUAGAUGGAGCAAAGUGAGCCACUGAACAGGUAGAUAAUUGAAAAUAGCAGGGUGUGUGUAUGCAUUAGCUCAAUGAAUUAGUAUUUGUGAAGUCCUUGGUAGAGUACCCAGUGCAUAGUAAAUACUGUAUGGAAGUAUUUGCUCUUAUGAAAUUCUUUCAAAUGUAACUGAGCCCAAAACAAACCAGUUGUGCAACCAAGAAAGUACCCCACAAAAGCAAGCCUUUGCUCCUAAAGCAACUGAGAACAUCGUCGGUAAAUUCUUUUUUUUAAUCAUUGGUAAAUUCUGACAUGGUCUCUGUGUGACCUGUCAUGCUGGCCUGAGAGACUUAUGGUCU